rnacentral:lncRNA from 1 species
UGGGAGAAGAUUGGAGCAGCCUAAACUUUGAAAACAGAAAAUUAAUUGUUGUAUAAUUGCUGCCGUGUUUUAGGUCAAUGGAAGGUUCAACCACUUCAUUUAUUUCUGGAAACAGACUCCAUACAUAUAUACAUAUAGCUAUCGGCAUCACCAACACUUCACCUUCCAUGUCCUUUCCUCUUGAUGAAGCAUCACUGUUCAGCCAUCUCCAUCCUCCUCACAAAAGCUUUCCACCUGUAAAUUUAUUACAAAUCCUGCACAAACUGCCGGACUGCAGACCAAACCAUUGUCCUAUAUUUUUUGGAUGCAAACAAGAACAAAAAGUGCACAUCUCCCUCUUGGGAAGGAGCUCUCUGUAACUCUUUGUUUUUUCCUUUUUCUUUUCUUUUUUUAAGAACAAUGCUGCUUUCUGCAAUUCCCUCAAGCUAAUUUCACAUUACAAAAUGGUACAAACAGAAGAGGGGAAAAAUUCUAUAACAAGCCACGAAAAAUUAGGGAUGAAAUUAAGCAUGUUUUUUAUAAUUAGCUCAAAAGCAUACAGAACUUAAUUAAAAUUCUAUAAACUAAGUGGGAAAGAAAUACCAUGCUAGAAGUCCUCUAAAACAAAAUAAUUCAGUGGUAAGAUUUGAGUACAGCUCCACAGAAAGUACACAUGAUAGCUCUCCAAGAUUUCCAGUAAAAUGGCACAUAGCAAAAUCUUGUACAAGUUUUCAUAUCAGCUACACUUGCUCCACCACCACACCUUGAACAAAUCCCGGCCGCCGGCUUGCUUCUUCUCACCUUCCGGGUCUGAUCAACAAGAAAACAAAAGCAAACCAUGGUGUUCUAGUUUGUUAUUCUUGCGCUUCAGUGUUUUUUGAUUUUGGGACUUGAGAGGGCGAUGUGGUUUGGCAAACACAGAAAUAUCAGAUAGACAAGCGCAUUUAUAUAUGCAUGAGCGGUGUUAAGGAUCGAGCAACUUCAGUGGUCUUUCACCGUUAGAUACACAGACAUUUGAUAUUUGUUUUGUAAGAAUUUUCGAAUCUGCUUUUGAAUAAUAAAAUUGAAGCCAUUAACAAUUAUUUUUAUUAUUAUUAGUUGUCUACUCCCUUUUAAUAUACAGUGUAAUUAAACUUAGUUUAUGCUAUCGGUUGAGUUUGCAUUUAUUAUAGGGUAUAACCUUGCAUUUAUUAUUUUCAUGCUUCUGCUAUUGCUCUUUUUUUUUUUUUAGUGAUGCCCCAUCACUAAAAAUAUGAACAACAUGUAACAUAAAUACACUCUUAGUUGAUUUGCCAGCUCAAUGACUUAUUAACCUGAUUUUUAGUUUAUAUACAUUUUAAAUUAAAUUAGAUGAGAGUUAAUUUGGUAUAAGUUAACAAAUUGAUUCAUGAUUAAGUUAAAAUUUAUUUUGACUUGGUUUUUUUAAACAUGCAUUUAAUUUUCUUAAAAAAAAUCUAGAAAUAAUGACAAUUUAUAAUUUAAUUUGCAUUAAGCCAUCCAACUUGUCACCCUGGGGCCUUGAAUAAUUUAUAAUUUAUAAUUUAUAAUUUUAAAAAUAUUAUUUUAUUAUUCCUUAUACAUGCUUAACAAGUGGGGCCUUGAAUAAUUUUCAUUUUGUAUUUAGAAUUUUUUAUUAAGUGAGUAAUUUUUAUUUUAUAAAAUAUAAUUAAUAAAUAUAUUUUACUUAUUUUUAAGAUCUUUUUGUCAAGUUAAGGUAUUGAAUCAUUGCUUAAGUUGCCUAUAUACUCGUCGACUAUGUGAGUCAAGGCUGGGUUUAAUCUUGCUAUUAUAUUUAUAAAAAAAUUCUUUUUGGCAGCAUUUAUUUUGAAUCUAUUGGAUAAUAUAAUACAAACAACAAAUCCACGCUGGGCUAAACAUUAAAAAAGUGAUUGAUUACAAAUUUAUGAGGGGGGAGAGUCGUUCGUACGUUGUUUAGCCAUCCAUUAAUGGAGGUGGUGGUCUACUGCCUUUAUCGUUGAAGGAGUUCUUUUCUGGGUUAGUUCCACAUGUAAAAUAAUUUUUAAUUAUUUUUUAUAUUUAGGAAACUACUAAAUUGCCCCUAAAUUGAUUUAAUAAAAAUAAAAUUAUGAAAAGAUAAAAAAGCUCUUUGACUCCGGUUUUAAAAUUUUUACUUUGAAGAGUAUUUUGUUCGUUUUUCUGUGCUCCUUGACCUUUUAUUGUUUUUUAUAUUUAACUAAUUUUUUUCUAAGCUGACAUCAUAACGAAAAAACCAUUGUAAGAAUGCAAAAACACCCUUUGACACUUUUUUAAUUUUUUUUUAAUUUCAAUGAUAUUUUAAUUGUUCUGUUAUAUAAUUGAGAUGAGAAAAUAUAUAAUUAUUUAACUCCGGUAAAUUUGAUAAUGACUAAUGGUAAACUCUUGCAUUUUAAAUUAACUUGAAAUCCAACCCCCAAUGUAUUAUAAUAUUAUUAAGCGAACAAUAGCGGUAACAAUCAAUUUAUUAUUACAUGAAAGAGUCGCGUUGUAAAGUAAUGCACUCGGUCCGAUAAUUACCAUAAAACCGAACGCAAAAUUUCAAAAUAUUGUCCAUCUAUUUUGCUCUCCAUGUAUUUUGCAGCAUCCAAUUGGCUUUAUCCCAACUAGUAUAGAUCCCAUCUUCCUUCAUCAACGAAUACACAGUUCCAUGAUUCUCAUCUUUAGGUACUUCAAACCCAUACCACGAUGAAAAAUAUUGUUUCCAUUCAGUUGCGCAGUAAUAUGUAUCCUUUUCCACAACUUUCCAUUGGUAGACUUCACCCACAGAAAGUGAGUGCAUACCCAAGGUGAUAUUAUUGGAAGCACAGUAGAAUCGCACUGGUUCCGAGUUUGCUGGCAAAGAAUUGAUGAUUUCAAUAGUUGGUAGAUUUUGAUUGGCCUGAUCUUGAAUUGAUCUUGCACUCAAAACACAAAGUGCAAAAUUAAAGAAGAGAAGAAAGUGGAUCCAUGUGGCCAUGCUCCUAAGAAAAAAAAGAGUUUCUUUUGAACUUGUGAAGUAUUAUUUAUCAAAAUACACGCAGUAGAUAUCUUCUUUAGAGAGAGUAUAUAUAACGUAGAAAAAACUUCAAGUAUAGAAAGUCAUUUAAAUUCUCGUAUUACCAUAUCCAUUCUUAAUUUUCUUAGUAAUUGAAUUUUCAACUAAUAGUAGUAAAUCUAGCUCAAUCAAUCCUAAAAAAGAAUUCCACAAUUGAAUUCGUAGGAUAUAUUUAAAAGAUACGGGAUUCUCAUUAAAUGCAUAAGAUUUUUUUAAAAGUCAUUUCAAGAAGAACGUCCUAUGGGAUUAGUAUCCUUAUAAAAUUGACAUUUCUUAGAAGAUAUGGGAUUAUUAUGGGAUUUGCAUCCUUAAAAGAUAUAGGAUUAGUAUGGGAUUAAAGAAAUGGGAUUAGUAUCCUCUCAUGCUAGUCCCAUUUCUUAUAAAAUUGACAUUCCUUAAAAGAUACGGGAUUAGCAUGGGAUUAAUAUCCUUCAAAGAUACGGGAUACGGGAUUAGUAUCCCAUACCUUAAAAGAUAUGGGAUUAGUAUCCUCUCAUAUCUCCUUCCAUAUGAUGAUCAAUUUCUUUAAAUGUAAUCCUUCUAAGAAAUUGGAUGGCUAAUGUAAAUAUUAAAUGUUAUUUUCUUAAUUACUUGCUAAUUCAAGAUCCUCAUUUCAUGAGGGAUUGGAUUCACCUGUACGCUGAACCCAAGAGGAGUUGGUGAGGAUAAUUCUUUUUUUAAAUAAUUAUUGGGUGUGGCCCGUGUGGCUCUGCAACCGGACCCAAGGAUUGGGCAAGGAGAUUGGGUCUCGCUGCGCGACCUUUUUUCUUUUAAGAUAUUUUUAAUUUUAUACCUUUUCCUCUUCAAAUUUUUUUCUUUUCUCUUAUUUAAUUUUUUUUUGGCGCGCAAAUUCCGUCUGUAAAAUCGUCGGUAAAUGGUUUUUUUGUUUUGCCGACCGAUAUAGCGACGGAAUGGGGAAUCACCGAUGAAAGGUAAGCCGACGGACGUAUUCCGUCGGUAAUGUAGUCGGUAAAAAUUUUACCGACGUACUAUCAAUCACAGACCGACGGAAUAUUUCCGUCGGUAAAACUGUGAAUUCUUGUUAUGUAAUUUGGUAUAAGUUAACAAAUUGAUUCAUGAUUAAGUUAAAAUUUAUUUUGACUUGGUUUUUUUAAACAUGCUUUUCAUUUUCUUAAAAAAAAAUCUAGAUAUAAUGACAAUUUAUAAUUUAAUUUGCAUUAAGCCAUCCAACUUGUCACCCUGGCCUUUAAUUGGGUCAAUUAUGCAAUAAAGCCGGCUUAAGGUGAAUAGAAAUUUUAGGCAAAAUUAUAAAUAAGAUAUUCUAAAAUAUUUUAAAAAUAUUAUUUUAUUAUUCCUUAUACAUGCUUAACAAGUGGGGCCUUGAAUAAUUUUCAUUUUGUAUUUAGAAUUUUUUAUUAAGUGAGUAAUUUUUAUUUUAUAAAAUAUAAUUAAUAAAUAUAUUUUACUUAUUUUUAAGAUCUUUUUGUCAAGUUAAGGUAUUGAAUCAUUGCUUAAGUUGCCUAUAUACUCGUCGACUAUGUGAGUCAAGGCUGGGUUUAAUCUUGCUAUUAUAUUUAUAAAAAAAUUCUUUUUGGCAGCAUUUAUUUUGAAUCUAUUGGAUAAUAUAAUACAAACAACAAAUCCACGCUGGGCUAAACAUUAAAAAAGUGAUUGAUUACAAAUUUAUGAGGGGGGAGAGUCGUUCGUACGUUGUUUAGCCAUCCAUUAAUGGAGGUGGUGGUCUACUGCCUUUAUCGUUGAAGGAGUUCUUUUCUGGGUUAGUUCCACAUGUAAAAUAAUUUUUAAUUAUUUUUUAUAUUUAGGAAACUACUAAAUUGCCCCUAAAUUGAUUUAAUAAAAAUAAAAUUAUGAAAAGAUAAAAAAGCUCUUUGACUCCGGUUUUAAAAUUUUUACUUUGAAGAGUAUUUUGUUCGUUUUUCUGUGCUCCUUGACCUUUUAUUGUUUUUUAUAUUUAACUAAUUUUUUUCUAAGCUGACAUCAUAACGAAAAAACCAUUGUAAGAAUGCAAAAACACCCUUUGACACUUUUUUAAUUUUUUUUUAAUUUCAAUGAUAUUUUAAUUGUUCUGUUAUAUAAUUGAGAUGAGAAAAUAUAUAAUUAUUUAACUCCGGUAAAUUUGAUAAUGACUAAUGGUAAACUCUUGCAUUUUAAAUUAACUUGAAAUCCAACCCCCAAUGUAUUAUAAUAUUAUUAAGCGAACAAUAGCGGUAACAAUCAAUUUAUUAUUACAUGAAAGAGUCGCGUUGUAAAGUAAUGCACUCGGUCCGAUAAUUACCAUAAAACCGAACGCAAAAUUUCAAAAUAUUGUCCAUCUAUUUUGCUCUCCAUGUAUUUUGCAGCAUCCAAUUGGCUUUAUCCCAACUAGUAUAGAUCCCAUCUUCCUUCAUCAACGAAUACACAGUUCCAUGAUUCUCAUCUUUAGGUACUUCAAACCCAUACCACGAUGAAAAAUAUUGUUUCCAUUCAGUUGCGCAGUAAUAUGUAUCCUUUUCCACAACUUUCCAUUGGUAGACUUCACCCACAGAAAGUGAGUGCAUACCCAAGGUGAUAUUAUUGGAAGCACAGUAGAAUUGCACUGGUUCCGAGUUUGCUGGCAAAGAAUUGAUGAUUUCAAUAGUUGGUAGAUUUUGAUUGGCCUGAUCUUGAAUUGAUCUUGCACUCAAAACACAAAGUGCAAAAUUAAAGAAGAGAAGAAAGUGGAUCCAUGUGGCCAUGCUCCUAAGAAAAAAAAGAGUUUCUUUUGAACUUGUGAAGUAUUAUUUAUCAAAAUACACGCAGUAGAUAUCUUCUUUAGAGAGAGUAUAUAUAACGUAGAAAAAACUUCAAGUAUAGAAAGUCAUUUAAAUUCUCGUAUUACCAUAUCCAUUCUUAAUUUUCUUAGUAAUUGAAUUUUCAACUAAUAGUAGUAAAUCUAGCUCAAUCAAUCCUAAAAAAGAAUUCCACAAUUGAAUUCGUAGGAUAUAUUUAAAAGAUACGGGAUUCUCAUUAAAUGCAUAAGAUUUUUUUAAAAGUCAUUUCAAGAAGAACGUCCUAUAAAAUUGACAUUCAUUGUAUCUAUAUUAAUGGAGGUCUAGUAUUCUACAUCAAUUAUCAUUCCUUAAAAGAUAUGGAAUUAGCAUGUUAGGAUACCGGCAUGCAAACCCGACAAGACAAAAAACAAAGGAUAUAAUAAAAUAAGAAAUGACACACAAGAAUUUAUAUGGUUCAUCCAAUUUAACUAUGUCCACGGAUAAGUAGAAGGAUUUAUUAAGUAAUAUGAGAAUUACAACCUCUCUCUACUAAUAGAAAAACAAUUAAAACCUUUCUAUUAAUAGGAGAAAAUACCUCACUUACUCUCUCACAUAUUCCUCACAAUUUUAUAGGAUCACUUUCCCUCUCUUACUCUCCUUUUCUUUCUUUCUUGUGGUGCAUCUUUGGGCGUGGAUGCAUUAUUUAUUUAUUAGCAAGCAUCCACGUAAAAGACAAGAGAUACAUAUUGAUGCCCAACAUUGUUGACUUUGACGGUACCAAUUGCUACCUAGCUGGCUUCACAUAGUAUCCUUAAAAGAUAAGGGAUUAGUAGAGGACUAGUAUCCUUAUAAAAUUGACAUUCCUUAAAAGAUAUGGGAUUAUUAUGAGAUUAAUGUCCUUAAAAGAUAUGGGAUUACCAUGGGAUUAAAAAAAUGGGAUUAGUAUCCUCUCAUAUUAUAAAAUUGACAUUCCUUAAAAGAUACAGGAUUAGCAUGGAAUUAAUAUCCUUAAAAGAUAUGGGAUUAUCAUGGGAUUAAAGAAAUGAGAUUAGUAUGGGACUAGUAUCCUCUCAUAUGAUGAUCAAUUUCUUUAAAUGUAACCCUUCUAAGAAAUUAGAUGGCUAACUUAAAUAUUAAACGAUAGUUUCUUAAUUAUAUGCUAAUUCGAGAUUCUCAUUUCAAGAGGAAUUGGGUUCAACUGUACAUUGAACCCAAUAGGACUUGGUGAUGAUAAUUGUUUUUUAAAUAAUUAAAAAAUAAAUUUCAAGAGGAAUUGGGUUCAACUCUACAGCCAGACCCAAGGAUUGGGUAAGAAGAUUGGGUCUCACUGUGCAACCUUUUUCCUUUUUAAAUUUAAAUUUUUUUUUCUUUUUUCUUAUUUAAUUUUUUUUCAUACCGUAAAAAUAAUAAAAUUGAUGGGACUUUUUUUAUAUUGCAUAAAAGUUGGGCGAUGAUAAUUUUUUUUAUUUGAAGUUGGGUUGAAUUUUCUUAUUAAAACAUGUUUGUUUUUGCAUUUCUAAAAGGCUUUAAAAAAAUCUAAUUUUUAUUUUAUUUUUUUCUUUACUUGAAAUUAACAUAUAUAUAUAUUUUUUGAAUAGCUACGAUUUUCAGACACUGAUAUGCCCAGAAUUAUGUUUAUACGUAUAUAUAUGCAUUAAAAAUGUGCAAUGUACAAGAAUAUUUGAAGCUCCUCUGCAGCCCACACAAAAGUUCUUUCAUCUUUCCUCAUGCAGCAGAACUACUUAGCAGCGGCGCAGGAAAGAGCCCUCCGAACCAGAGGGGAUCUUCGUUGCAGAGGGGCCAGCUCCCAAGCCUGCAACAUUGACACACCUUUACUCACAAAUGCAGCGAUCGAGUCAGCAUAGAAUAUGGUGUGCUUUCAAAUUAAUAUUUUUUGAUAUUUUUGUAUUAUUUUUUAAAAUAUUUUGAAUCAAUAUGUUGGAGAAGAGAUAGUGGCAUUUGAAAUAUGAAUAUUCUUUAAUUUUAUUUUAAUUUUUUGUAUUUGCUGUAUUGUUUUUUUAUUUGAAUACUUGAAUUCGUAUAAAAUCUGAUUAAUUAACUAUUUUCGUUAGUUUUGUUAUCAAAAUAUUGAUGUGAUAGUUAACUCUUUGAUAUAUCUGAUAUCUAAGGAAUUUAUGAACAUCACUGUGUGUCGCACCCGAUAUCGCGGCGGUUUUAAAAAAUUAAUUCUUGAAUUAUGGAAAAAGAACAGAUUUCUGACAUCUUGUUCUUUUAGGGGAAAAUGUCUUGUUUAAGGAGUCGCCACCUAUUAUUAUGGUCACUAGGAAUCCUAAUUGGUCAACAUAGAUUCUAUGGUUCGGGACUGGUUACGUAAAGGGGAAGAUAUUAUCACCCUUUAAACGUUUUGCCUGAGGCAGACUGCAUUGCUGGUUUUGUUUUAUAUUGCUAAAUGUUUAUUAUUAUUUUUUUAUGAAAAUUUGCUUAUAAUAUUCCUGACUCUGGCGCCAGUGAAUAUUUAACUACGAAUAUUUCCAACUCUGGCGUUGAUAAAUAUUACGUAGCUAUAAAAAAAAUAAAUUUAAAUCAAUAUAUAUUUUUUUAUUCCCGACUCUGGCGCCAGUGAAUAAAUAAAUAAUAAUAAAUUUAUUUUUUUAAAUGCACAUAUUUCUUAUUUUUUUUCUAGCCAAAUAAAAUUGAAUAAACGAAUAAAAAUAAUAUAAAUUUAAAACAAUAUUUUUAUUCCCGACUCUGGCGUCAAUGAAUAAACCAAUAAAUUUACAUUAUUUUUAUUCAAACAUACACAUUUUUUUAUUUUUUUAUAAAAUAAAAAUACAACAAAUAAAAAUAAUAUAAAUUUAAAACAAUAUUUUUAUUCCCGACUCUGGCGUCAGUGAAUAAACCAAUAAAUUUAUAUUAUUUUUAUUCAUCCAUACACAUUCUUUAUCUUUUUAUUUUUUCUACCUUUUUUAUUUUUCUGUUUUUUAUUUUUCUAUUUUAAAAAAAAUAAAUUUAAAUCAAUAUAUUUUUUUUUAUUCCCGACUCUGGCGCCAGUGAAUAAAUAAAUAAUAAUAAAUUUAUUUUUUUAAAUGCACAUAUUUCUUAUUUUUUUCUAGCCAAAUAAAAUUGAAUAAACGAAUAAAAAUAAUAUAAAUUUAAAACGGUAUUUUUAUUCCUGACUCUGACGUCAGUGAAUAAACCAAUAAAUUUACAUUAUUUUUAUUCAUGCAUACACAUUUUUUAUCUUUUUAUUUCUUUUUAUUUUUUCUAUCUUUUUUAUUUUUUUGUUUUUUAUUUUUUUAUUUUUCUAUUUUUUUGAGGCUGGGAUGACUCGGUUGGGUCACUGGUCUAGACCAGUGACCCGGCUGGGUGGCAGGCGUGCGUUUCGCCCGCCUGCCUAAUGAAUUAAAAUUCACUUGCUGCAGUAGAAACUGCUACUGUAGCAGUGAAUUAAAAUGCAAAGGGAGCGGCGCUUACCUCAGUGCAGGAGACGAAAGGGACGAAGACGAUGGUGAUGGCGAAGGCGCGCUGGCUGGACAAUAACCUUCUGUUUCCCUUUUCGUUUUCUUUCUUUCUGGUCGUUCUUUGUUUCUCUGUUCUUCCUGGGGAACGAACCCGGAAUCUCUGGUUCUGUCCCUCCCCGGUUUUCCUUUGGUUUUAGUCUCUCUCCCUGCCGUGCAUGGCUUUCUCCUUUCUGUUUUCCUCUUGUUUCAGUGACGAUGAAGGUCACGGCUUGCUGCUUGGGUUCUUCCUUCUCUGGUUUGCAGAGGGGCGAUUGAGGACACGGUGAUAUCAAUGUUGAUUUUCUGGGUUUAUUGCUAGUAUUGGUCUCUGUUUUUGUUGCUCUGUGUACUUUCUUUCUCUCUGUUUUGCUGGGUUUCUUCCCUCUGUCUUGCUCUGUCUUCUGCGUCCCUCCUGUUUUCUUCUCUGGUUCUUGGCCUUCCUUCAGUUUGUUCGAUUCUUUUCUAGCUGGUUUCCUCUGCUUUUAUUUUUAUCAGUCUUUUUCCGUCCUCUUGUUCUGCUUCCUUUCUCUCUUUUUAUCGAGCCCCUGCAUGCAGAAACCAGUUCCCCUGUUAAUGGGAUCGUGGGCAAGAGAUCGUGGCCUUGAAUUGCCGGAUUUGUUUCCUGUUGAAUCGGUCUGGUCCGUGCGAAACGGAAGGGACGGUGAACAGUGAGAUCAAAACGGCGUCAUCUUGUAUGGAAAAAAAUGACAGAUUAUGAAUUGGUCCCUUUUGUUUGAAAUGUAUCAAUUGGGCCCCUUAAUCAAUAAAUUUUUAAUUUUACCCUUGGAUUAUUUUCAAUUAAGUCCCUGAAUUUAUUUAAUUAAUUAAAUCAAAGUUUAAUUAAGUUCACAAACUUAUUAAUUCUUUUAAUUUCAUUAAUUAAACUAAUCCAUAUUUUAACUAAAUUUUCAAACUUAUUAAUUUUUCAAUUUCUGAUAAAUUUACUCUCAAAUUUGAUAAUUUCAUCCAUGAAUUUUGAAUUUGUGUUGUUUUAACUCCAUUCUCAAAUAUAUUUUUAUCCAUUCAUUUUGUAUUAUUUGUUCAAAAAUUAGGUUAUGACACUGUGUAUGCAGUAGAUAAUCUAGAAGUCCCUGCUGUUCAUGAUUAUUUUCAUCUGUGGCUUUUUCACCUAUGGUUUUGUUAAUCUUUUACUGUAGUUUUCCGGAGUGAACUGCAAACAUAUCAAGAUGAGUCCCUAACGCGACGGUUUGCUGUUUGCGGAAGAUUGUAGCUUUCCUGGGUGGAAAUGAUGUUCAAAUCACCAAUUUUACUGGAAAGGAACCUGACAUGAAUUUUAUAGGAUUUAGUAUGAAUUUUAUAACUUAAAGACUUUGUAGGAGAUGAUAUAAAGACUUCAAAUCACCAAUUUUACCGAAAAGAUUUGAUAUUAAAGAUGAUUUAAAAAAAUCAAUUAUUUUUUUUUAAUUCAAAUUAAUAUGUUUUGAUGUUUUUGUAUUAUUUUUGAUGUGAUGAUAAAACAAAUCAAUUUAAAUUUUUUUAAAAAAUAUUAUCUAAUUUAUUUUUUUAAAAAACUAUUUUAACAAAAUAACAGUUAACUAAUAAUAUAAUACCUAGCACAUGGGCCCGCACUCCUCAACGGUUCUAUAACAAUUUUUUUGUCCAAUGUAAAAAUACUUGAGUUGGGUUAAAAGCAUGGAGUGUAUUUAAACCAUUACCAUCUUAAAAAAAAAAAAGUAUUUUUUACAGUAGCACCAUGAAUAACAUAUAACAGAGCAGCAGCCAAUACACCUGCAACUUCAUUGUAUUUUUUUUUUCUUUUAAGAUAUUUUAAACUGUAUUUUUUUUCCUCUUUAAAUUCUUUUCCUUUUCUCUUAGUGAAUUUUUUUUAUACUGUAAAGAGGAAAUAAAUUAAUGUGACUUUUUUCAUAUUAUAUAAAAGUUGGGUGAUGAUGAUUUUUUUUAAUUUUAGGUUGGAUUGAUUUAUCUUAUUAAAGCAUUUUUGUUUUGGCGUUUCAAAAAUAGUAUUAAUUUUUUUUGAAAGUUGUUUAUUUUAUUCUUUACUUGAAAUUAAUAUUUCUUGAUGUUAUUGUAUUAUUUUGAUGUGAUGAUAUAAAAAAAUAAAUUUUAAAAAUUAAAAAAUAUUAAUUUUUUAUAUGUUUAGUAAAACAUUACUCUUGGGACAAGCUACGCACUCGAACCCAAGUUGACUGGGUCUGGCUCCCCAGCCAGAACCAAGUUUCUUGAGUCAAACCCCAUGAUAUGGGGUCUUGCUACCCAGCAAGGCUCAACGCUGCUGUGUCCUGUUGGUAGCAGAACCCACUAAAGGUGGGCCAUGCUUUUUAGAAGGACCCAACAACUUUGGGCCCUACUUCCCAGCAUUGUCGGGUCCUCCUGAUUCAUUUUUUUUCUCCUUAAAUUUUAUUAUUUAAAUAAUUGAUUGAUUGAAAAUUAAAUUUCAUAAUUUAUUUUGGUUUGCUUUUAAUGAGAUUAUCCUUAUCUUAUAACACGAAUGAUAGCUUUGACAGGUUAACCUGAAUUAAAUAAGUCACCUAAUAUUCUCAUUAAUUAAUGAUCUUAUAUAUAUACAUAGAACGAAGAACGAAGGUGCAUAUAUAUAUAUAGCAUAUAUAUAAUAUAUAUAUAUAUAUAUAUAUAUAUAUAUAUAUAUAUAUAUGUAUAGAACGAAGAACGAAGUAUAUAUAGAACGAAGAACGAAGGUGCAUAUAUAUAUAUAGCAUACUUGUCUGGCGUCCUUGAAUAUAUAACACCCAUCACACCCAUCAAAAGUCAAAGGACGCCAGACAAUAUGCACCUUCGUUCUUCGUUCUAUAUAUAUAUAUAUAUAUGCAUUAACUCGAUAAUUGAUUGCUGUAGCGAUUUUAAGUAAAUAAUGCCGCCAGUGUCAAGACUGAGUCACAUAAGUUUAUUCAUUCCAUUUUCAGGUCAUGUGUGUCAGCUACUCGAAACAACUUUUAUCCCGCCAGCUAUAGCUGUAAGAACCAGCUUCAUAAGGCAAAGCCAGGGUUUUAAAAUUUGCUAUUAUUAUUCACUGUUAUUCACACUAUUAUUCACUGUUGCAAUUGUUGGUGUCUGUGGAGAAAGAAUUCUGUUCUGAGGUAACCGGAAUGCAUAAAAUGGUUUUGGUGGUUUGGAUGGUUUUGCUGAUGAUGAUGUUAAUGUUACAGUUAGCAAUAGCAGCACUCUUAGUAAAGUCUGGCUGCCCAGAUCAAUGUGGAGAGAUUCACAUCCCAUAUCCCUUUGGAACUAAAAGAGAGUGUUACAGGGACGAGUGGUUCAAAAUUGAAUGCAAUCAAACUGCCCGUCCUCCAACAGCUUUUAUAAGUUCAAUCAAAUUGGAGGUGGUGAAUAUUCCAGUUGAGAGAGGAAGCGUUAUUGUCAAAAUUCCAACGAUGUAUUUCAAUUGCACUGGCAGGAAAGAUAGUGCAACUCUUAAUCUCUCUGGAACUCCAUUUUUUUUCUCUGUUUGGAAUAUGUUCAGUGUAGUGGGUACUUGUAAUAAUACUGAAGCUUCCAUGACCAAAGAUAUUGUCAGUUGCUUCUCCACUUGCAGGAACAUGAAGAAUAACGUUAGUUUGGGAGAAAAUAAGAUGUGUUCUAUAGCUAAUCAAGGUGGUGAAGGAUGCAUGAUGGCUGAUCCAGAAUGGUUUAAAUCCAAUAUAAAUUUUAGAAAUUAUGUUCCAAUGUACCUGCAUUGGUUGAUCAACUCGAAUGAGGUUAAUGCUUCUUCCACCUUGUGUAAAUUUCACUAUCAAAACUCCUUCACAUCCCAGUGCGAGUGUCGAGCUGGAUUUCAGGGCAACCCUUACCUUGAAUGCAUGGGUAAAUAUCCUUUUCUCAUGUAAAUAUUGCUUAUGUAAAUAUUUCUCAUAUAAAUAUUUGUUGAUUUUUGCUUCGUUAUUUUAUUAGAUGUUGAUAAAGGCACAACUCCAAAGAAAAACCGGUGCCAAGGGAUUCUCAAAUUGAAUAUAAAAGGCAGUUGCAAGAUAAAUAAAAUUUAUAUAAUUAUAAUAGGUAUGAAAUCUUUGCCUCGUUAUUUCAUGAAAUGUUAUUUUGGCAAAUGUAAUAUUCGUAUUCUCAAAUUCUUCUGCAGCUGUAUGGUGUAUCAGGGAAUAGCUCAGCAUGCAUCAUAAUUACUAUUUGGCAAAGAGUCACUAACAAUAAAGUAAAUUUUAUUUUAACUUGAUGUGUUAGGAAAUGAGAUGCUUGAAAGAGAAAACCAAUUAAGAAAUCGGUUGUUUGACUCUUACAAGAACUGGGCCCUGAAAAGAAGCUGUCAAAUAAAAAACAACUCUCUUGAUAGACUGAAUAGUAUGAUUAAUUAAUUAAAUUGAUGUUGCUUGUGGCCAAUAAAUUAGGCUAAAUCAGCAAAACAAAAUUAUUAAAAAGUUGAAGUUUUGUAUUUAGACUCCUUUUCUUGUAUUGUCUUCUACUUAUUUAGAAACAAACAAAAUUACGUUAAAUGCUAUUUUAUGAAAUGUAAUAUUGGCAUUCUCAAACUCUUCUACAACUGCAUGGUGCAUUAAAAAUCACUCACAAUAAAUUAAAUGUUACUUUGGUUAAACAAUCAUAUAUGUCAAGAAUUUAACAUUUUUUUAUUUGCUGCAGUUAUAGGAGCAUUCAUUUUUGUAUGGGCAUUACUUAUUGGCAUAUGGUGGUUAUACAGACUAGUAAAGAAAAGAACAAACAGAGAACUAAUUAAAAGGAAUUUCUUCAAGCAAAAUGGUGGGUUAUUGUUACAGCAGCAGUUAUCCUUAGAUCAUGGCAGUGUUAAAAAAACAAAGAUAUUUACUUUAAAAGAGUUGGAGAGAGCCACUGAUGAUUUUAAUGAAUCUCAAAUACUUGGUCAAGGUGGGCAAGGCACAGUUUAUAAGGGGAUGUUAGAAGAUGGUAGCAUUGUUGCUGUUAAAAGGUCUGAAAAAGUGGGUGGAAAAAGGCUUGAGGAGUUUAUUAACGAGGUGAUCGUUCUCUCGCAAAUUAACCACAGGAAUGUGGUUAAGUUGCUAGGAUGUUGUUUGGAGACUGAAGUUCCUCUCCUUGUCUAUGAAUUCAUUCCCAACGGAAAUCUUUACAGGCUUCUCCAUGUUCCACACGGUGAUUUCUUAUUAUCUUGGGAAAGGCGAAUGCGGAUUGCUACAGAGGUUGCGGGAGCCCUUUCCUAUUUACACUCGGAAGCAUCCAUUCCGAUAUAUCACCGAGAUAUUAAGUCUAUGAACAUACUUAUAGACGAGGAAUAUAGAGCUAAAAUAUCUGAUUUUGGAACUUCAAGAGCCGUGGCCAUCAAUCAAACUCACUUGACCACUCAAGUGAAAGGUACCUUUGGCUACUUUGAUCCGGAGUACUUUCGAUCCGGCCAAUUUACAGAAAAAAGUGAUGUCUAUAGCUUUGGUGUGGUUUUGGUUGAGCUUAUGAGUGGACAAAAAUCGGUAUUCUCUUCAAGUCCAACAGGAACCAGAAGUUUAGCCAUGCACUUUAUUACAUUGAUGGAAGAUAGGAGGCUGUUUGAUAUUUUGGAUGCUAGAAUCAAAGAGCAUUGCCAGAAUGAAGAAGUUGUUGCUGUUGCCAGUAUUGCAAAAAGGUGCUUGAAUUUGCAUGGAAGAAACCGACCAACAAUGAGAGAAGUAACCUCAGACUUGGAAAGGAUAAUUAAAUCGUCACAAGCACCACAUGUUCAACCAGACAUCCAAAAGACAGAAAUCAUCAUGGCUGAUCAAGCAAGCAGCAGCUGGGAUGCAUUUCCGACAUCAAUGGCAGCCGCAGAGUUGGAGAGAUUCAUCAUCACACAUUGAUUCUAUGAUUACAACAUUAUAUGCUGGAAAUGAGAUGUAUACUUCUUAUCAAAGGCAACUUGUAAUAGUAAUAUCGUCCAUCAACAAACAUACAUGAAAUGAGUACUGUACAUCGUAAAAUUAAUUAUAUAAUAGAGACUGUCAUAAUCUAUUUUUGGGUCACUCCCAAAUUCAUUUUUAUUUUCUCCAAAAAAAAAAAAAACUACACAGUGCGGUUUUGAACGGCACUGUGCUGCUUCUUCUCCCCUGCGAAUGCAACGAAUGCUGAGACAGGGGAGAAGAAGAUUUUUGAAAUGUUUUCUUCCCACUCUUUCUCUACACCCCACUUGCCCAAAAAUCCUGCAACCAUUAUGGAAGAAACAUGAGACAUACAGAGACCCAUGCCCUGCACUUGAACAGGCAUGGUAAUCCUCUCCCCCGGCUGCCUAUAAAUACAUGGGAAAUGAAGAAGGAAAAGAGAGGAGGGUGGAAGGUUUUGAAAAGAGAGAACGAGGGAAACAUUUGAAAACAGAGAAGGAAGGAGAGAUUUGAGAAAGAACUGGAGACGCGAACAGCUGCCAUUCUCCGUCACCACCAGCACCAUGAGCACUGCCAACGCCAUUGUCAUUCUUCCUCAGCCUCUCACCAUCCUCCUCCCCCUGCUGCAAUACCCUUGAAGAAGAAGAAGCCUGCACCUCUGCACAGACAAGAAGAACAGCAGCAGCACCGUCAAUGCCAUUGCCAAGUCUUGGAAGCGAAAACGAAGAAGGAGAGAAAGGAGGAAGAACCACCGGCUGCUAUCCGCAUAGCCACCACCAGCGCCACCCCAGAGCCACUGCCAGCUGCUACCGUCCUCCCCGUCGUUGAUAACAGCCCUGCACCGUGAGAAACAGAAGAAGAAGCAGAAACAGAGACAGACAGAGGAAAAGAAGAAACAGAGGAGAAAGGAGGAGAAGCCGCCGCCUGGAACCACCAUCUGCAGCCACAUUCAACCACCACCAUCACCACCAGCACCGUGAGCAACAACAGUUUCUACCACAGAAACAGAAGAACAGCAGAGGGAAGGGGCAGAGAACCGAAAGCAGCAGGGAGAAGAAAAAAGAAGGGAAAACAGAAACCGCCAACUGCCACCAGCCGCCAACUCCACCACCGUUUCCACCGCCGACUUCAGGUCAUCCUACCCGUCCAGCCAGCCAUCACCGCCACGCCAGGUGAUCCACCCCUCUUCCUUCUUCUUCUUCUUCUUCUUCGCUGCAUCAUCUCCACUGUUCUGCGUGAACAGUGGAGAGUGAAUUAAUUCACUCUCCACUGUUCACGUAGCAUGUGAACAGUGAGAGCACUCCACUGUUCACUGUUUUGGCCCAGCCCAAAAUGAGUGGGCCGGGUCCGGCCCAGUCCAAAAAAAAAAUUAAAAAAAUAUAUAUUUUAAUAAAAAUUUAUGAUUUCCCCGCGUAUUUUUUUUACUAAAUUUUGCUUAAUAUUGGUUUGUAUUUUUAUAUCGUAAAAAUACAAAUAUGGUAUUAAAAUACCCGGUUUUCGUCAAAACUUUGAAAAAAAAUGUUUUGGUUUUCAUGCAUACGGCCAAGUCUUUCAAAGAAAAACAAACUACAUCAUAUUUUCAUACAACAAAGAAAACUUCAAAAAAAAAAUGUUUUUGCAUGCAUUUUUGGCUUUAAUAACCAGUUUAUUAAAGUCACGAGAACUUGGCCAAUAUUUUAAUAAUUCCAAAAAAAUUAUUUUGUUUUCUUUUAAUAUCAGGGAUUAUGAAUUUAUACGUAAAACGUAUUCUCGAUAUUAAAAAUAUAGUUUUUUUAUUGACGUUAGAACGGUUAGGUUCUACCCUAUUAAGAUAAGAACCUCCUUGUUGAGGAGGGCUUUUCUUGAAUCUUAGAUAGACAGGACCAACAAUUGGUAAACACGACCAAACCUUAGAUUUUGAUCAAACAAAUAAAACAAUGCAGCUUACCUUAGAUAGGGUGUAUUUGGGGUGCUAAUACCUUCCCUUUACGCAACCAGUCUCCGUACCCGAUCUCUGAGACCAGUUAGGGUUCCUAGUGACCAUAACACUAGGUGGCAACUCCAUUCCCUUUUCCCACUGAUAAGAGACAAGAAUUCCUUAUCUCCCCAUAUUUUCCAGAUACACACACAUUGAGUGAGGGUGGACGAUUGCCACGACGCCGCACACGUGCGACAGAGACGAUGGUAAAAAUGCAACCAUUUACUUAAGAACAAACUAUAAACAUGGUUACAAUAUUACCUUGAACCAAAAUAUUCCCAUGGAAAGAAAUCAACGGGUGAUUCGCCAAACAAAAACUUGGUGUAAUGGUUUUUAGGUUGAAAAGGACCAAGCGCCAAGUGGAGAAGAAAAAAAUACCUUGCACGUUCACGAUUGCAAUACCUAUGUGGUGGAAAUUUGUCAUAGGAAUGGAGAUCAAGAGUUGUUCCAGGAGGAAAGAAAGCAUUGAGGAGGGCCAACAACCAUGGCUUGCAGAAAUACAUGGUAUUAUAAUGCAAUGUCCGCCACCCAAGUGAUUUCACUAACUUGUUCAUUAUGAUAACCGAUAUGCCAUGGUCCAUUUCAUUCCAACUUCUAAUUUGACAAGUCGUCGCAACUACUUCUUGUAGUUUUGGCCUCUUGUGGUUACGCCUUGUUGAUAAACUAUACAUGAUGUCACCACUUUGUUGUUGCAUCUCCGAUACCGGUGAUGGUGGCGACACCGCUGACAUUGGCAGUUUUUGAGAGCGUUUCUUGAACCACGUUCCCAUCAAAUUAAGGUCCCUUUUUACAGGAAAAAAAGAAGUUAUUAACUAGCACUUCACAUAUGUACUGUGUCGUUAAAAAUACAUGAUUCCAAAUUGAGAAAUGAUAUUUGGAUCAUACAUACAUACAUACAUACAUAUACAUACAAAUUGGAAGACCGAAUUCAGAUUUUUUUAUCCUAAAGAAAUAAAAAUCACACCCAUAAAAAUUAAAGCAAAAAAAAAAACCAUAGCAUUAUUUUUCUGUGUUUGCAAGGCUUGCUGGUAUUUCCUUUCUAUCUUGCCCGUUGUUUCUAUAACCCUCAAUUUUAGAGGAGGAACUUAUUGGAUCCUAGAGGAUAGCCUUGUGUUGAAGAAAUACCCUUAAAGACAGUGUCUAUACACACCUCAAGUUAUAGUUUUUUCUAUUCAUUGCAGCUUUCUUACAACAUUACUUUGGACUUGGUCGACUACCAAGUCCAGACGUCUUGGGUCUGGCAAACAUGCCUGACUCACGUACUUUGGACGUGUCUUAUUGCCAAGUCCACUCGCUUUGGACUUGCAUUCUGCCAUGUCCAAGCGCCUUGAGCCCGCGAAACAUGCUUGACCCAUGUUACAUGGACUUGGCCGACCGUCAAGUCCACUCGUUGUGGACUUGUCUGUUUGUCAAGUCCAGGCACCUUGGGAUUGGCAAGCAUGUCAGACUCACGUUACUUUGGACUUGGCUGAGCUUGCUGCUACUCGAGCUGAGCUGGCAACUGCCAAGGAAGAGAAUAAGAUUUCUCAAGCUAAAUUGGAGGCUUUAAGUAAUACUCCCAAGGAAUUUCAAGAGUUUUUCUGGGGCUCAACAGCUUUGACCAAAAUGGCAGGAUAUAUGAUAUUCCUAGCUAUGUCCAAUCUGUAUUUCCUCAACCUCUCUAAAGGGAAGCAAGUGGAUUUUAUUGCAGCCUUCCAUCUAGUUUCCGUUAAUUUUGUUGAUUUUUACGAGUUUUAGUCCCCGUGUUGAGUUCUAUUGUAGGUCCAACACCCAUUUUUAAGCUUUUUCUUUUAUGGGUCCAACGCCCACACAUGAUAAAUAUUUUGGGGUUCAACGCCUAGUGAAGAUGGUUCUGACAUCUUGCCAGAACCACGGGCUCUUAGGCUCAUCGCUUGUUUGAGCCCAAGGGAGGAGGGUCUAGCAUCUCGCCAGACUACGUGCACCAAAGGUUUCAGCAAGAGUUGGUGUGGACUCAUAGGUGUUGUAACCUAUUUUUGGGUCGCCACAUAAAAAAUAAAAAAAAUAUUAUCAAAAAAUAUAACAGUGAAAAACAAAAUGCCAGAGCGGCCUAAAAAUGCUCAAAAAUAGAUUGAGGACGUUCAAAAAAAAUAAAAUAAAAAUUUAAUGGUAUAUCAUUGACUGAUGAAAGUCUUAUUGACAAAGAAAAUACAAUUUGAGAAAGAAAAGUCUAAAAUCAGAAGUUUAUGGACUCAAUUAAAUUUUAUUGGAGGUUUAAUUGAAUUUAUAGAGGUUUUAAUUGCAAGAAAAAUUGAUUUUGGAGUUAAUUUGGGCUUUAAUUGAAAGAAAUUAAAGUUCUGGGGUCAAAUUAUAAUUUUUGAGAAUUAAUUUGGUCAAAUCAAGGGCUUAAUUGCAUAAAUAUUGAAGUUUGAUGGCCAAUUAGGGACUUAAUUGAAGAAAUCUGAGACCAAGGACUAAAAUGCAAAACGUGCGCAAAUUGAAGGCCUUCUUUAAAAUCUGAUGGGUUUUGGCUCCUCUUCCUUUUAAAUAAACGGUGUGUUUUGAUCAAAACGGCGUCGUUUCAUGCAUUGUUAAAAAAAAACAACAACCCCUGAAACAAUGUCGUUUUGAACGGCACCAUAAUCUUCUUCCCCUAGACAAGCAGAGAACAUGGGAGAAGAAGAUUUUCUUUUCUCCUCUGUUUGGCACCGACUUCCCUCCCCCCAAUGACUUCAAAAAGACGCCGACAUAACCCACUUUCCACGUGUUGAAGGGAUGGUGGAGGGGCGGCAGAACAAUGGCCGCCCCAGCCACGUCUCCCUCCCUUGUUUUCCUAUAAAUACAGGGGAGGGACCGAGAGAUAGAAAGGAGAGAAAAAAGAGAGAGAUCGAGGGACCGAGAGAGAGACAAUAGAGAAGAGGAGAGAGAGGGAAGAGAAGAGAAGAGGAGAGAAAGAACAAACAAAAAAAAGAAGACGAAGCAGAGAAGAGAACAAAAAAACAGAGGAGAGAGAGAGAGAAGGAAAAGUAGAGCCACCGUCGGCCACCGUGAACCGCCAACGCCAUCACCAGCGCCGUUUCCUGUCGCCCCCAGAAGCUCUGCCAAAGAUGCCAGCCACCGCUGACAACAACAACCACCGCCAGCACUGCCAUGUAAUCUUCUCUCCUUCCCUGCUCCGUUUUCUGUUUUCCUUCAUUUUUGCAUGCAGAAUGUGAGCAAUUCACGUUCUGCAGCAAGAUGAAAAUAAUUAGCUAGUUACUAUGCUGUGCACAGUAACCUGCCAAUUAUAAUCUUUUGGGCCAGUGUUGACCCAUUUUACCUUUUGAGCUAGUGCUUGCCCAUUUUUCAUGUUGGGUCGGUGCUAGCCCAUUUCAUUUUUAUGUUGGGCCGUGCCGGUCCAUUUUAAUUUUAUGUCGUUAAAAAUACAAAAUCCGGUAUUAAAAUACCCGGUUUUCAUCAAAACUUCCAAAAAUACAAAAAAAAAAAAAAAAAAUGUUUUUGUGCAUACGACUAAGUGUCUCAAAGCUAAAAAAUCAUUUUGUGUUUUUCAUGCAUAAAAAAACAAUGUUUUAGCAUGCAUUUUUGCUUUAAUAACCAGUUUAUUAAAGUCAAGAAAAUAUUGGCCAAAAUUUCAAAAACAACAAAAAAUUUAUUUUGUUUGAUUUUAGUAUCAGGGAUUAUGAAUUUAUACGUAAAACGUAUUCCCGAUAUUAAAAAGACAUUUUUUCUUUUGACGACUUAGAAUAGUUAGGUUUUUACCCGAUAAGAUAAGGAUCUCUUUACAGAGGAGGACUUUUCUUAAACUGUAAACAGACUGACAAUUAGAAACCACAACAGGACUUUAGAUUUUAUCAGACAAAACAAUGCAGCUUACCUUAGGUAGGGCGUAGUUGGGGUCCUAAUACCUUUCAUUUACGCAACCAGUCUCCGUGCUCGAUCUCUGAGACCAGUUAGGGUUCCUAGUAACCAGAUUACUAGGUGGCGACUCCUAGUCCAUAUUUUACUGAUAAGAGACAAGAAUUCCUUAUCUCACCACAUUUUCCAGGAAUAAUUCCAUAUUCCAUUUUUCCUUGAGGGUGGACGAUCGCCGCGACGCCGCAUACGUGCGACAGAAUGGCGAGUCCACUAGGGACCUUGUGGACUAAGCUUUGUUUUUGUCUUAUUAUUGUUUUUUUUAUUGUUGUGAUUUGCGUGUUUAUUGUUUAUGCAUUUCCUUUAUUUAUUGCUUAUGUGCUUUAAUUUUUGUACAUAUUUGUUCAUGCAUUGUAUAAAAUUGCUUCAUGCAUCACAUGCUUUAUAUUUUUCAAGCACACACAAGCUUCUAAGUUAAGUGGGGAAUUAACGAUCUGCCCUAUGACCAUUGGUCAGUGUUCAGAUGCGUGAAACACCCAACUCAUAUCUGAGUGCCUGCUUUGUAAUGAUGGGUAUACGUGCCUUAACCAUUUCUCGCAACGCCCCUAUAUUGUCUUUACGAAGAUCGUCACUGGGUAGAUAUGAGACCCUUUUGAGACCAGGUAGAAAACCUGCCUAUAUUCAUAUAAUGAAUAGAACCUGUCCUUAGGUUGUAUGUGCUACUUUUAUUUAUGUCAGGGCAAACCCUUCUUGAAGCAUCUUGAACUCAAGACUUAUGGGUGGCAUAAUGACCCUUACUCAAGAAAAUUUUCAUUGUAAAGUGUGGGCAAGAAUCAAGAUUCUUGUUUCAUCAUGCAAGAGUUACAAUCAUAUGUCACCCCUCGAAGGGCAAGUUCAUCAUAUAAAUUACAUGUUCAUACAUUUAACAUGCAUAAAUGGUAGAUUGAAAUAUAGGUUCCCAAAAAGUCUACAACACCCGACUUAGAGCGAGAAGCAUGAAAGAUGAAGAGCGUGCUCAAUGUGAUGCCUAUUUUCAAGAAGAGUUGGAGUCUCUGAAAACAAGCAUAACUCACCUCACUAGCUUACUCGAGCAAACACUGAGAAAUACCUCUGGUGAAGGUCCUUCUAACCGACCGAUCACCUUUAAUCCGGCUCCUACUACAGUUCAGCCUGAAGAAAGAAUGAGCGAACAUGGUCAAGAGCCUCAGCAAAAUCCAACAUUUAUGCAGUCAGCGACACUUGCACCAGCCCUAACAAUCAUUGAGGUAUCUGCUAACGAGUCCCACAAGGCUAAGUCAUCUGAUAUCAUUGAUCAAUCUAAGAUAGAGGCUUUGGAAGCCAGGCUCAAAGUCAUUGAAGGGGUAGACUUAUGCGACCCGGUACAGGCAGCAGAGAUGUGUUUAGUCCCAAACAUGGUUGUCCUAAAGAAAUUUCGUGAUCAUGAGUUCAUCAAAUACAGUGGAACACAAUGCCCCAUGACUCAUCUCAGGUCCUACUGUAAUAAAAUGGCAGAGGUAGUAGAUGAUGAAAAACUACUGAUGCAUUUUUUUCAAGACAACUUAAGUGGCACAACAUUGAGCUGGUACAUGAGAUUGGAUAACACAAAAAUCCGCAACUAGAAAGAUCUUGUCGAUGCUUUUGUUAAGCAAUACAAAUACAACAUGGACAUCGCUCCUGACAGAACCAGCUUGUCCAAUCUAGAGAAAAGGGACAAAGAAAGCAUAGGGAAUAUGCUCAAAGAUGGCGAGAAUCAGCUGCUCAAGUACAUCCCCCACUUUUGGACAAAGAGAUGGUCUUUUUAUUUGCCAAAACACUCAAAGCACCAUAUUACAAACAUAUGAUGGGUAGUUCAGCCCAACAAUUCACUGAUGGUGUGAUAGUGUGUGAACGCAUAAAGCAAGGUGUCAAGAGUGGUAGAAUUUCUGCACCCACCAAGAAAAGAGCCUUCGAAAGAAAAGAGGUCCACCAUGUUGAAGAUGGCUACAGGGGUAGGAAAAACUCAUUCCAAAAUUACCAUACUCCAUCCCAAAUUGCCAACAUAAAAAAACCUGAACCCCAAAACUUUCAAGCUAAAAGCCAAAUUGGAAAUUACCAAAAGGUUUAAGAACAACUACCUCCACUACCACUACCCCUGAAUGAGAUGUAUCAAAAGCUAUUGAGCAUCGGGCAGAUAACUACAGAACUUCUGACACCUCUGCAGCCACCUUAUCCUAAUUGGUACAAGCCAGAACUCAAUUGUGAAUACCAUUCUUGUAUUGUUGGGCAUAACAUCCAUACUUGCAACGCCUUCAAGAGGAAGUUUCUACAAUUAAUUAAAGCCGGGUGGAUAGAGUUGGAAGACGCCCCCAAUGUGAAUACGAACUCGUUUCCUAAUCAUGCUUAAAGCAUAUUAGGAUGGAAUGUUUGGGGAAUUGGAAAGCAUCCAUGGUCCAACAUGAUAUCAUGAAUUUUAUAGAACUCAAAUUUUGACCAUGGUGUUGUUCUGCAUUGUCUUUGAGUCCUCUGCACAGAGCUUUUGAGAGGAGGCUAGCCUAUGAACAGAUUCGCCAAAAUAGAGGAAUGAAGCUUGCCUUGUUAUUGCCUUUUGCUAAUGCUUUUGAAUAAGACUUUCUAUGUUAAAUGAGCUUUUCUUGUGAAAUAAGGUUAUGUGUUUUCUUGUGUUCAUAUCACACUCUUCUUUGUUGUUAUCACAUAAAAAUAGCAUUUUGAGCACAACUUUGCUCACAAAACUACAACAUGAAGAAUCCUUCAGUGUUCCUUUCUUCCAAAACCAUACAUAAUCUCAUAUGUUUUCAAGGAUAAUUUUUGGGACCUCCAAAGUGAGUACAAAAAUAGAAAUCAUGUUGGUAUUUGUCCAAAACAAAUGCAUUUUAGAAAUUCAAAUGCUUCCUUAGAUAGGUACACAUAUACCUAGAAAACUUGAAAGAAAAAAGACAAAACAAAGACAAACAACACUAUGAAGUGACUCAAAAGUUGAGUUUUAUUUGACUAAAUAAAUCACUUUGCAUACGCACAUGAAAGCAACACCUAUCAAUCCUCAAUGCAGUGCAUUUGAGAUGAGGAAAUGCCAUCUUUAAUAAUCCUUUCACAAGGCUAAAAUAUAUCCUUUACAGUCCCAUUUUGAGCCUAAUAAUGUUUUUUUAGAAAUAACCUUGACUAGGAUCACACCCCACACUGGGGGGCAAAAUAAAAGAGUUUUUUGUUUUUACCAUCCAGACAAAGCAGUGAAGAUGGGUGCUGGAAUUGAUCAUGUAAUUUUUAGUCUUUCAUUAUCAUCCAAAUGAAGCAGUGAAGAUAAAUACUGUGAUUGGUUAAGAAAAGAAAAGAAGAAGAUCCAAAGGAUCUAAAAGAUUUGAGCUUCUCAUAAAAACAACUGAUAUGAUUAUGCUCAACCAAACAAAAAUGAAGAAAACAAAUAGAAAAAGCCCAAACCCGACAAUGGAGGGCAUGAAGACUAUUUUGAAAAAACAAAUCCAAAAGACAAAAGGUCAGGAAACAAGCACAAGUGAUCCUUAGUCUUGAAAUCCCUUAAACACCUUUUGAGCCUGCAACAUAUCAUUUUCUUCAUAACCAAUAGCCAAAGCCUACAUUACGUACCUAAUCAAGCCCUUUUUUAUCAAAGGCAAGCAAUCUGGAUUGGUAGGCAGUGCUUUAUCGUGCGAGUCAAAUCAUUAUUCAUGCAAAUAAAAUAAAAGCUUUGACUCAAUUUCGAUUCUCAAUAACCCUCAAAUUGAAAUUUAAACCUUUUAUGACCAACCAAAUGUCACUUCAUCUUUAAACCAAAAGUAAAAAGCUUUCAUCACUUCAAGAAACCUGUCCAUAGGAAUUGCUUGAAUUUUUUAGAACAAGUUUAUUUUGAACCAAUGUCAAAAUGAGUUUUGUGGUUGGAAUAACUUGGAAGUUCCAAAAAAAAUUUUGCAUGAAAACAUUUCAUUGUACAAAAAACCCAAAAUUACUUUCACAUAUCCUCGCCCCAAAGUAAACCAAAUUGAACAUAUGGGGGGCAUGAUCAAGCUGGGGGGCAAACAAAAAUACAUGGUAGGGCUGGCUCCAUGAUUCCUUUUCUAAAAAAAGGUCGGGCGAAAUUGGCAACCCUUGAGAUAAAGGGUGAAGGACAAAGAGGUAUGAUGACAUCAAACCCUUCCCAGAGAUCAAGAUCACAAAAUGUGACUCGAGUAAGCAAAAGUGGAAAAACCAUCAAAGUUUACUACCAACACUCAAACUUUUAAGAAAAGAAAGACACCAUGAAGAAAUGGGGACCUAUAUUUCUCAGGUAAGUAUACAUGCAUAGCAAUCAUAAUGCAUUUGCUUUUACCAUUGACAGAUCGGUGUUUCAUCAUCACUUCUUAGGUAGUGCAUUUUAUAACUCUACCCAUUUUUAAGUGCGCCUUUGAACCCUCACCUCUUUUUUAGUGCGCCUUUAAGCCUCAAAUCCUUUUGAGUGCGCCUUUGAGCCCUCACACCUCUUUUUGGGUGCGCCUUUAUGCUCUCACCUCCUUUUGAGUGUGGCUUUGAGCCCUCACACCCAUUUUUGAGUGCGCCUUUGAGCCCUCACCUCCCUUUUGAUGCGCCUUUAAGCCCUCAACUUGUUUUGAGUGUGCCUUUGAGCCCCCAUCCCUUGGGGUAGUGCAUUUUCUAACCCUACCUCCUUUUGAGUGCUCCUUUGAGCCCUCGCCAUCCAAUUUUUGGGUAGGUCACCCAUUACAAUUCGACCAAUUCUCCAUGUUUUUAUCUAGAUAGGUGGUAUAACAAUGAGACCAUUCCUUCACUUGGGUAGGUCACCUAUUACAACACGACCACUCUUUCUUUUUUCCAUUUUUAGGUAGGUCACCCAUUACAAUUCGACCAAUUCUUCAUGUUUUUAUCUGGGUAGGUCACCCAUUACAAUUCGACCAUUUUCCAUGUUUUUUUUCUUUGGGUAGGUUACCCUUUACAAUGAGACCACUCUUUACUUUUAUGUUUGGGUAGGUCGCCCAUGAAAAUAGACCAGUGUCAGCGUGAAUAUGUGGGCUGAUCGCCCCUGAAAAUAGACCACUUUGAGAAUGUGUGGGUAGGUCGCCCAUAAAAGAAGACCAGAGUAAGUGUGAGUGCGUGGGCAGGUCGCCCGUGAAAAUAGACCAUCUUUCUUAAAAAAUAAAACAAAGGGUUUAAACACAUAGGAUUUUGGUUCUGGUUAGAGGGGAUUGACGAAAGGAAUCUCAGUCUAUCCUAACCACACACACAGGAUUUUGGUUCUGGUUAGAGGGGAUUGGCAAAAAGAAUCUUAGUCUAUCCUAACCACACAUAGAAGAUUUUGGUUCUGGUUAGAGGGGAUUGGUGAAAGGAAUCUCAGUCUAUCCUAACCACACACACACACAGUAUUUUGGGUUCUAGUUAUAGGGGAUUGGCAAAAGGAAUCUCAAUUUAGCCAAAUCAUACACAAGACUUUGGGUCCGUUUGAAGUUUUAGGUCAACCAAAUUUUGAGAAGACCAGUUUUGGAAGACCAAUUUUAUUUAUCUUUACAACACUUACUACGCAAAAGCUUUGCUUUGUAAGCAUUGUAAAAGGGGGGGCAACUGUUGAACCCAUUUUUGGGUCCCCACACAAAUAAUAAUAAUAAUAAUAAUAAUAAAAUCAAAAAAAUAUUAUCAAAAAAUAUAACAAUGAAAAAAAAAUGCCAGAACGCCUUAAAAAUUCUCAAAAAUUGAUUAAGGAUGUUCAAAAAUAUAAAAAUUAAAAUUUGAUAGUAUAUCAUUGACUGAUGAAAGUCCUAUUGACAAAGAAAAUACAAUUUGAGGAAGAAAAGUCCAAAAUCAGAAGUGUAUUGACUCAAUUAAAUUUUAUUGGAGGUUUAAUUGAAUUUAUAGAGGUUUUAAUUGCAAGAAAAAUUGAUUUUGGAGUUAAUUUGAGCUUUAAUUGGAAGAAAUUAAAGUUCUGGGGUCAAAUUAUAAUUUUUGAGAAUUAAUUUGGUCAAAUCAGGGGCUUAAUUGCAUAAAUAUUGAAGUUUGAUGGCCAAUUAGGGACUUAAUUGAAGAAAUCUGAGACCAAGGACUAAAAUGCAAAACACGCGCAAAUUGAAGGCCUUCUUUGAAUCUGACGGGUUUUGGCUCCUUUUCCUUUUAAAUGAAACGGCACGUUUUGAACCGAGGGAUCGAGAGAGAGACAAUAGAGAAGAGGAGAGAGAGGGCAGAGAAGAGAAGAGAAAGAACAAAAAAAAAAGACGAAGCAGAGAAGAGAACAAAAAAACAAAGGAGAGAGAGAGAAGGAAAAGUAGAGCCACCGCCGGCCACCGCAAACCACCAACGCCAUCAUCAGCACCGUUUCUUGUCGCCCCCAGAAGCUCUGGCAAUGACGGCAACCACCGCAGACGACAACAACCACCGCUAGCAUCGCCGAGUAAUCUUCUCUUCUUCCCUGCUCCGUUUUCUGUUUUCCUUCAUUUUUGCAUGCAGAACGUGAGCAAUUCACGUUCUGCAGCAAUAUGAAAAUAAUUAGCUGGUUAUUGUGUUGUGCACAGUAACCAUCCAAUUAUAAUCUUUUGGCCAAUGUUGGCCCAUUUUCAUGUUGGGCCGAUGCUGGCCCAUUUUACCUUUUGGGCCGGUGCUGGCCCAUUUUACCUUUUGGGCCGGUGCUUGCCCAUUUUUCAUGUUGGGUUAGUGCUAGCCCAUUUCAUUUUUAUGUUGGGCCGUGCCGGUUCAUUUUAAUUUUAUGUCGUUAAAAAUACAAAAUCUGGUAUUAAAAUACACGGUUUUUGUCAAAACUUCCAAAAAUACAAAAAAAAUUGAAAAAAGAAAAAAAGUUUGUGUGCAUACGACCAAGUGUAUCAAAGCUAAAAAAUCAUUUCGUGUUUUUCAUGCAUAAAAAAACAAUGUUUUAGCAUGCAUUUUGGCUUUAAUAACUAGUUUAUUAAAGUCAAGAGAACAUUGACCAAAAUUUCAAAAACAACAAAAAAUUUAUUUUGUUUGAUUUUAGUAUCAGGGAUUAUGAAUUUAUACGUAAAAUUAUUCCAGUUAUUAAAAAGACAUUUUUUCUUUUGACGACUUAGAAUAGUUAGGUUUUUACCCGAUAAGAUAAGGAUCUCUUUACAGAGGCGGACUUUUCUUAAACUGUAAACGGACCGACAAUUAGAAACCACAACAGGACUUUAGAUUUUAUCAGACAAAACAAUGCAGCUUACCUUAAGUAGGGCGUAGUUGGGGUGCUAAUACCUUUUCUUUACGCAACCAGUCUCCGUACUCGAUCUCUGAGACCAGUUAGGGUUCUUAGUAACCAGAUUACUGGGUGGCGACUCCUAGUCCAUAUUUUACUAUAAGAGACAAGAAUUCCUUGUCUCACCACAUUUGCCAGGAAUAAUUCCAUAUUCCAUUUUUUUCCUUGAGGGUGGACGAUCGUCGCGCCGCCGCACACGUGCGACACUUUUGAUUUUUUUUAUCCUUUUGUUAAAUUGGUUUUUUUUCCUCAAUUCCACCCUUCAAUAAAAAAAAAUAUUUUGUAUUUCAAAUUUGAUCCUCGUUCCUUUAAUUGCUAUUUUUUGUUUUAAAUCCUUAUGUAUAAUUGAUUUUUUUUUCAAUUUCAUCCUUCAAUAUUUUAUUAAUUGAGAAUUGGGCUUUAUGGUUUGUCAGAUAAUGUGCUUUAGGUCUAAUGAUCUGGGUCAUGAAAUGAAAAGUUACCAUGCUCAAAUAAAUAAAAUUAACCUUAGAUGAGGUUUUGAAAACUAAAAUUAAAGAAGAAUGGAUCCCUCCUGGAUGUUAAAAAAAAUAAUAAAUAAAAAUUCAGCAAGGCUAAAUGGAAGAAGAGGAAAAUUAUAUUUGACUAAGUUAGGAUUUUAGUGUGAAUGGAAAUAUAUUUAAUGGGGUUAAGUAAUGCAUAAACAAAUAGGAUGUAAACAGGAAAAAAAAAUGUCAUUCUUACUAAACUAAGAAAUUUUGGCAAAGGGAGGAAAGAAAUAAAAGGAUGGAAUGUGGAUGUGGGUAAUGGUAAAAUUAGUGUUGAAAUACAUUAAGAAACAUGGUGAGAAUGAUUGAAUUGCAAAUUAAAUAGGAAGGAAGGACAAUCUUAAUUUUCCAUCUUAUAAAGGUUUGGCUAAGUUCAUGAAAAUAAAUGAAUUGGGUUGUUCAAGUUGGUUUUGUUAAAUUGUGACAAAAUCCUUGUUUAAUCAUAUUGUUGUAAUAUCUAUGAAUUAAGGAGAGCGGUGGAAUUGAAGUCAUGGAAUGGAUAAUACAACCACUUUAUUAGUUGGAUAAACCAUGACGAUAAAUGUAUUAUAAAUAAAAUAAUUUAUUAUUGGUAUAUGGAUUGGAAGUAGUUUAUUAGUGAUUUAUAAUGUGAAGUUUAAAUUUAAUUUCAUGAUGACAAAAUAAAUUUAAAUUAUUUCAGAAAGAAAUAAUUGUAUAAGUGAUAUAGUAAUUCAUGUCAGUACAGGAGAGUCGCCUCCGGGGAGGACAAUAUCAGGGUCGUGCAUUUCGUGACCAGACUGCAGGUAGGUGCUCAACACCUAAUCUAUUUAGAAAAUUUUAAGAUAUUGUAAUUUUUCUUAUAACACCAUUGUAAAUAUAAACAUUGAUGUGAUAUUAUUAUUAAGAAAAUUGAAAAGUUCUAGUUGCCCAGUGAGGAAUUGGUGGUGGUGGAACUAAUUGAAGGAUUAUAAUGAUUGAUACGAACGAUAUCGUAUAUUUUUGGAAAAAGAUUGUUGUGUGUUAUGCUUUUAAAGUUGAUAAUAAAGUAAUUUUGUGAUAUUAUUAUGUAUAUUGUGGUUGUGCUAAUUGCAGAAAAAUUUAUACGUUGAAUUAGUGAUGCGGUAAAAGGGUCGGUGCCCGGUAAAUUGGGUAGAUAAAUUAGUGACCCGGUAAAGGGGUAGGUUCCCGGGGAAAGGGGCAGAUGAAUUAAUGACCCCGUAAAGAGGGUCAAUGCCCAGUAAAUAGGGCAUAUAAAUUAGUGACCCGGUAAAGGGGUCGGUGCUCGAGAAAAGGGGCAGAUGAAUUAGUGACCUCGAUAAAGGGGUAUGUGCCCGAUAAACAGGGCAUAUGAAUAAGUGACCCGGUAAAGGAGUUGGUGCCCGGGAAAAGAGGCGGAUGAAUUAGUGACCCGGUAAAGGGGUUGGUGCCGGAUGAACUAGUGACCCGGUAAAGAGGGUCGGUGCCCGGUAAAUGAGCCAUAUGAUUUAGUGACCCGGUAAAGGGGGUAUGUGCCCAGUAAAUGGGGCGUAUGAAUUAGCGACCUGGUAAAGGGGUCGGUGCCCAGGGAAAUUGGGCCGAUAAAUUAGUGACUCGGUAAAGAGGGUCGAUGCCCAGGAAAUUGGGCAAAUAAAUUAGUGACCCAGUAACGGGGUUAAUGUUAGAUGUUGGAUGGUUGGAUUUUUGCACAGUCAAAAGUAAUGGACUGGACCUGGGAUCAAUGUUGAGUUUUGGUAAAUGUGAUAGAUACCUAGUAAAUGAGCAUAAUGUGAGGAACUAGUUAUCCGGAUGUUUGAGACUAGUGUCUUGAUUAAAGGGUUACUAAUAAAAGCAAUUAUCGAAUGGAUAAUUAGUAUACACGGUAUAAUGUUAACAUGAAAUCUUAAAAAUCAAAUUUGGAAAAACAUUUUAUCAGAAAAAGAAAAUGUGUAUGGUGAUUGAAUAUGUGAAAAUGAUUGGGAUGUCAUGAUAAUUCUUAUUUUCGAACUACUGCAACAUUGUACCCUGUUCUAGGUGAUGAGCAUUACUACCGGAUGAGGGGUGAAUGCUUCGUGAGGAGGAAUGAGAGUGGUUGUUUGAUUUAGAAAUUAUUGCCUGGCUUAGAUUGGGGGAAAAAAAUCCUAAACGGUAGGGACUGGCCGAGAAGAAUUGUUAGGGUGAUCCUGGACGAGGUGUUAUUACUUGGUAUUGAUCAGCUAGAGCUAGUACGUGGGUCAUUAUUUACUAGAGCGGUACUGUUGAUUAGUGUCCAAGAAUUACUAAAGACGUUAAUGGAAAGGCACUAGGGAUCGAGGCUUUAAACACAAAUCCUAAUUGAGGGUUUAGAUUGAAGGGUUGGUGCCUUAAUCUAUAGAGUUGUUGUAAGGCAUUAGUGACUCGGAUAGGGAGAAAGGAACCGUAAUUGAUGGAACCGAAGGGGAACCUAGUUCCUUUCAUAGGAACUAGUGUUUAUUCAGUGUUAGAAAUGAAAUUGUUAGAACAAAAGAUGUGAUGUGAUAUUGUGGGGUAUUAGUAAUAGGGAGUACUCUCGUUAAAUAUGGUAGAUAGUAAAACAAGUUAUGAUGUUGAUUAGAUGGACGCGUAGAACUCAAGAUGUAUAUUCAGAUGAUGCCGAAUAGAGUAAUUGAGAUGGUCAUUGGCAUAACGAUGAUUGGACUAAAGUGAUUAGUCGAUUUCACUACUAGGAUACAUGAAUACCAUAGUUACGCUCAAGCAAACUUGGUCAUUUGAAUAUUUAUUUUGUUUUUCUUCCAAUUUUGGCUAGUGAUUACUAUAAUAUAUACAUUGCAAUUUUGUAAUUACGAGGUAUCUACUAAACUAUAUUAAUUAACUUCUCACUCAUAUUUAAUUAACAUAUAUUAUUUGAUUUUUAAUUAAUUGUAUUAAACAUAGAAAUUAUUUUUUUCAUUCAUCAUGACAAUGCCAGAAUCUUCUUCUCUUGUGUUCUAAAUUAAAUUGAAAUCCAAGCCGCAAUGUAAUUAGGAUACAUUGACUAGUAUUAUAACAUUAUUUAAAGAACAAUAAUGGUAACAAUCAAUAUCUUAUUAUUAGAUAAUCAAGUUAUUAUUAUUAUUUUUAAUUAUUUUUUAUAUUUAGAAAAGUACCAAAUUGCCCUUAAGCUGACUUAAUAAUAAUUAAAAAAAACAAUUAUGAAAAGAUAAAAAGCCCUUAAGUUUUAAAAUUUUUUUAAAGAGUAUUUUGUUCGUUUCUCUGUGCUCUUUAACUUUUUAUUAUUUUUUAUAUUUAACUAAAUGUUUCCUAAGCUAACAUCAUAACGAAAAAACCAUUGUAAGUGUCGCAUGUGUGUGGCGUCGCAGUGAAAAAUCCACUCUCAUAUUGUAUUAUCGUCUAUCUAUUUGACAAAUGUGUGGAGACAAUGAAUUUUUGUCUUUUUCAGUGAAAAAAUGGAAUGGAAGUCGCCACCUAGUAUUUUGGUCACUAGGAACCCUAACUGGUUCCAAAGAUCGGUUACGGGGACUAGUUGCGUAAAGAGAAAGUAUUAGCACCCUAACUACGCCCUACUUAAAGUAAGCUACAUUGUUUUUUUGUCUGAUAUAUGCUAAGGCUUCAUCGUAUUUCUAAUUGUUGGUCUGUUUACGGUUUAAGAAAAGUCCUCCUAGGUAAGGAGAUCAUUAUCUUAUCGGGUAAAACCUAGUCGUUCUAACGUAAACAAAAGAACUACCUUUUAAUAUCAGGAAUACUUACAAACAUUCCUCCUAGAAAAUUUCUUGCAACGAAUUAUAUAACAAAAUCUAAUUAGGCAUGGAAAAACACUGUUCACUAGAACAAUAUAAUCAUGUAUUUGCCCUUCACAUAACAAAAUAUUGAAUUGGCUAUUGAGGGAAUCCAUAUCUUUAUUUAUUUUUUUAUUAACGUGGGUGUCCGGCCACUAUGUAAGCCUUUAAUGGCCCUAAGGUUUAUGAGACUCGAACUGGUGACCUCUAGAGAGGAAACUCAGGGCCUGACCAAUUAAGUUACACCUCUCAUAGUUGAGGGAAUUCAUGUCUUUUUAUAAGAUGUAUUAGUCAUUACUAAAUUCAUCAGUGACAAAUAAGUUUUUUCCAAUUUUAAAUGCAAAGUUAACAACCAAAAUGCCCUUAAAAGAAAAUUUUUAAAACUAGCAUCCAAUGAUUUUUUUUUUUUUUUAUUUUUUCAUUGGUUAAUUUUGUUAUUAUCAGGCCAUUUGAGAGGAGAUUUUUUAUUUGACUAAAUAUAAAAAAAUAAUUAAAAAAAUAAAAAGUUAUUAACUCUCACAACGAACAUGUCAACAUUUGGGAGGCCUGCCUUUUUUACAGCACGAACAACGCCUUUUGACGGAAAAAACCCCCCUUCCACAAUGUGGUUGUUGGUGGCACGGUUUGUCACUGACGAUGCUUUCCCUCUCUUUUCUCUCUUCUCCACUCGAUUUUUGCGCCGACCAUAUAAAAUUUCAGAGUUGUCCUCUAAUUUACAAGAAUUUACACUUCGGUCCUUUUUUAUUUCUAAUUUUUUUUAUUGGUCCUUUUGUGCAAUUUUGACUUGUUAUCAAUUUCAUCAUUUAAUCCCAAUUUGUGAUAUGUUAUUGCUUCCAAUUUGAUUCUAAUUCUUUUGAUUGUUUUUUUGGUCAUUUUGUUAAGUUGUUUUUUCUUUUUAAUUUCACCAUUCAAUCAAAAUUUUCAUUUUAUUCUUUAUGACAAUUCUGAUCCGCAUUCUUUUGAUUGUUUUUUUAUCCUUUUGUUAAAUUGGUUUUUUUUUCAAUAAAAAAUAAAAUUAUUUUGUAUUUCAAUUUUGAUCCUCGUUUCUUUAAUGGUGCUAAAUUAAAAAGAAAAAGAAAAAAGGAUUUAGCUAAUCCGAACUCGUUCAUCCAUCAGAUACCAAGGGCAAAGUUCAAAACACAUCAUUGUUUGACAAUCAUUCAUAUCCAGCAUAAUAGGAUUAUGAUUCUCACCCAAGCCAGCAUGCCACCUCAUAGAAGAUAAACUACACAUGAUCCCACCUCCAUAGCAUUGCACUUUUUUUUCCCUUUUUUCAGCUUCCCCACCUCCCUCUCCCCCUCUUUUUGGUUGGACCUCCCUCGUAAAUUUAGGUCAUACCAGUGAGCAACAUCACAUUCUUCCCACAAUUUCAAAAAAGUACAUAUUCUUUUACAAGAUGAUACUUCGGAUCUUCAAAUAUUCAAUCCAAAUCAUGCUUUCACAUAUGAAAUGUCAUCAACCAUGUCUAGGUAAUCAUCAUUUACAGCUUCAUUAUUAUUGAACAUGAAAGAUCAGGUUUCCACACUAUCCAUAAGGUUAUCUCUGAUUUCUGCAAACACAUGAAUCAAGCUUCUAUAAUCAUAUUUAAAUACUUGCAGCAUCCAGAAACAUUUCAAAAACAUAGAGCCAGAAUAGGAAACACAUGCUAUAUAAGUACAGAUAUAGUUAUAGAAGAAAUUUCACUGGCCAACGGUCAAAGAAGAAUACCUCAUUACGCGAUAAAGAGGGCGAUACCACAUAACAUAGCCUCCAGGAACCCCUGAUAUGAAGUAGAUGAUAGCAAGAAACCAAAUUGUUGGACCUAGAAAAGAAAACGAGCUUAGACAAACAGGUAAUGUGAUCAUGCACUAUAUAUGUUGUAACCCAAUUUUGGAUUCACCAAGUUUUUCUCGAAUGUUGUUUUAUUUCUAUUAUUAUUUAAAAAAAAUCCAAAAAAAAUAAAAAAGGUUUAAAAUUCAAAAAAAUAUUUUUUUUUCUCGAGUCAACCGCAUCUUUUUAUCAAAACCGAGUUCACCGGGUCAAUACGGGUCAAACCAUGUCGACCUUGGUAAAAAAAUGAGUUUUCAGGCUGUUUCGGGUCAAAACCGUCAUUUUCGGCCAAGACCGAGUUCACCGGGUCGAUACGGGUCUAAUCAUGUCGAUCGGGAUAAAAAUGAGUUUCAGGUCAUUUUGGGUCAAAACUGUUAUUUUUUGGUCAAAACCCGGUUCACCGGGUUGAUACCCAUUGAAAGUUUUUUUUUUAAUGUUUUGACAUAAUUUUCGGUAAUUAAAAUUGAUUUUUAGCGGUUGAGUCGGGCUUUUUCUAAUACUGAUUUGAGUUUUUAAUUUUAUCUAUGUAAAUAUUUAUUAUUAUAUAUAAUAAAACAAAAACUUUUUUGUCAUAUUAGGCAUAUUAGGUAAUGUUAGGCAGGGACUUUUUUUUCUUACAAUUAGGCAACAAUUUAGGCAGAAAUCAACUUUUAUGUUACUGUUCACUGGCUAUAAAUAGGCAGUGAGCAUCGCCAGAAAAGGGGGGAGAAAAAAAAAAAAAAAGGAGGGGGACGGGAGGACAAAGACAGAGAAGAAGAGAAAGACUUGUUACUGUACACAUUUUUUUAGUUUUUCUUCACAGGAGUAGGAUAUAUUUUUUAAAAAAAACAAUUUAAAAAAUACCAAAUAUAUCCCGACUCAUCUCAGCCAUUGAAAUAAUCCAAGACUCAAUCCCGUUGUGCCACGUCAUCCGGUGUACCGAGCUUUCGGUGCACCGCGUCACACCGGAUCUAAACCCAGACUCAUCCAGACCGUCUGAUCGACCUCAGAUCUAGCCAAUCACAGCCAUCCGAUCAUUCCAUCAGAGAUCCAACAGCGCACAGUGUUCAGUGGUACCGGUAUACCAUGCACGCGUUCACACCGUAGCCUAAUCUCGGACUCUCUCUCUCCUCUCGCCGGCGACACCCUCUCUCUCAUCCGAUCUCCACUUUCCGGCCGCCUCCAGCCUCCGAACCACCACAGAAAGGUUUCUCCCCUUCUGUAAAGCAAAAUCCCGGCGGUUUUAACCGUUUUCUCCGCCUCAUCUGGCCGGAAAAAGGCCGCGAUCCUCGCCGGCCACCGAAGCUUCAAGUCGUCGAUUCUCCCUCGUCAACCAUCAACGGACGUCGAGACCACCACCAUCAGAAUCCUCUCCCUCAGAUCUACCAGGAUCGACGGUUCGUUUCCCAGAAAGCUCGCCGGAAAAUUUCGCCAGUGCCAACAGUAGCCGCGCGUGAGCUACACGCGCCGACAGUGGCAUUUUUGUAAAUUCCUGAGAAAUCCGAGGGUAUUUCAGUCUUUUACCUAUACAGGGUUACUCAGGUAAUUUUUUUUUUUUGGAUUCCUAACAUUUUUUUUUAUGUAAAUAUUUGUAAAUUUUUAUUGCAUGUUGUAAAACAAAAACAAGUAUAAAAAGAAUAACGACGUGGGUCCAACGCCCAUCCCGUCAUGUUAUCGUUUGUGGGUUCAAAGCCCAAUUUUCAAAUAUAGUUAUACCCAUAUCUCAACAAUAUCAAAAUAUUUGUUUUUAUAAACAAAUAUUGUUUGUGGACACGUCUCUUUUUAUAGAAAAGGACCGAUGUCAAAUAAAAAGUUUAAAUACCAAACAAAUAUGGAUUAUGUCCAUAAUUUUGUUUUUUCGGACGUAAAUCUCCUUUUUAGGGCUAAACGUUGAUAUCUUAGACGAGUCUUCUAUUUUUAGGGACUGAUGUCAUUUUUAACGUGUCUCCUAUUUUUUAGGGACCGACGUUAACUAUUUAUAUAUAUAAAAAAACAAAAUUGCAAAUAAGCUCAAAAUAUAAUAGCAUUUGAAUCAAAUAUAAAAAUACACGAGUAAGGGUAACCUUUCUUUUGAAAGGAUGUUUUAAGGGUGGUGUCUACCUUCCCUUAAUCAUAACUAACCCAGUACCUGAAUCUCUGGAACCAGUGUUUAAUUUGGGAUUUCUAGUUCCCUCAAAUUACUAGAUGGCGACUCCAAUAAAACUUAAUUUCCCCAACCAAUAAAAAAUCUUUUUGUUAAAUAACAAAAUGAGCGGAGCCGUCGCCCGACGUCGUGUAUCGACAAUAUAUGUUGAAUGGAUUUGCACCAACCUCCCCUUUUAUCCAGGCUGUGGUAACAGCUACAAUAUUCCAUGAAAGACAGACAAAUAAACCUGCAAUUUCAUGAUAGUAAGUUACCCCACAGCUGAUAGUUGUUUGUGUUAAAACAUUUCUCAAAUUGAUCCAUCUCUACCCAACUAAACCAAACUGUUUUACACAAUUUGAUCUACAGGAUCGAUCACAGGAAUGACCUAAACCCAACUAAACAAAAUGAAAUGCUGACAAUUAAGAUGCAUCGUCAUGAAAAUGCAACAGUUAGAAAAUCUUGUCUCCUGAUUCUCGCUAACAAGACUGAGACUUGAAGAACAACCUAACAAAAUUGACUAUCAAGGAGACAAGGACAGCAAACAAUAAAAUAUGACAAGUGUUGGGAUAUUUCCAGAACUCAAACACACACAAUUUACGUGGUUCUAGCUUUCUUGGUCGUAAGGUCCUGCCAACCUUCAAGAACCUGACCUUCUUCUGUUUUCCAAGAACACAGCUUUCACAAAUGUCUAGAUCGACAUUUUUUAACUCUGGCAGCUUUCCCUUCGACUGAAGUAUCUUCAUCCCCUUUUGACUCAUAUGGCCAAGUCUACAAUGCCAUAGAUGUGCUUGAUUUUCUGCUUCAGUUGAGGCAAUGAUGUCUGCAAAUCUUGUGGUCAUAUACAGGGUGCCGGUUUUAUUUCCACGAGCUAAAACCAUUGCUCCCUUUGAUACUUUCCACAUUCCUCCAGCAAAAAGUAUUGAAUGACCACUAUCAUCAAGUUGUCCGACAGAGAUCAACUUCUUCUUUAAUUCAGAAACAUGCCUUACGUUCUGCAAGGUCCAUAUAGAUCCAUUCAUUGUCUUGAUUUGCACAUCUCCUAUACCCACAAUAUUCAGUGGUGUUCCAUCGGCCAGAUAGACUACACCGUGAUCUCCUCCAACAUAAUUUUGCAGCAUUUCAUUGUAUGGCGUACAGUGGAAUGAAAGCAUCUUGUACCUCAUCUGUGGUAGCGUUUGCAGAGUCAGCUUCAGGUUUCUUCGGUUUUGUGCAAUUCCUACUGAAAUGACCAGGUUUGCCACAAUUCCAACAUUCAACCUGCUUUCUGGAUCCAAACUUGCUUUUACUUCUGUAUCUGGAUUUUGAUCUGCCUCUGGAUGAGCCUCUAUCUUGUCUCCUCCCUCGAGUGUUGAUGUUGAGAGCUGAUCCUGAGCUUGAACUUUCACCCGAGUCUUUUCUUCGCACUUCUUUAGCCAAAAUCAAGUCUCGAAUGUCAUCAUACUUCAGUUUGGAUUUUCCAGCUGAAUUGCUCACGGCUGUCCUCAUGCCUUCCCAACUGCUUGGAAGUGAAGCUAGCAAGAUGAGUGCACAAAUCUCAUCAUCAAACUCAAUCGCAACAGAUGAUAAUUGAUUUGUGAUGGUAUUAAAGUUGUUGAGGUGUUGUGUCACAGAAGUGUUUUCGACCAUCUUCAAGUUGGACAACUUUUUCAUCAGGUGCACUUUAUUAUUUGCUGAUGGCUUCUCAUACAUCCCAGACAAGGCUUCCAUCAAUUUUGCAGUGGAUUUUUCUUUCGUAACAUUGUGAGCAACUCUUCUUGAUAACGAUAGCCGGAUAAUGCCCAGAACUUGUCUAUCAAGAAGUUGCCAUUCUUCUGCUUCCAUCUUUUCUGGUUUGCUUCCCAAUAAGGGAAGAUGAAGUUUCUUCCCAUAUAGAUAAUCUUCAAUUUGCAUUUUCCAGUAUCCAAAAUCUGUUCCGUCAAAUUUUUCAAUUCCAGCAGCCUUUAUUUCAUCUGCCAUUUUUACCACUUCUCCGAUUCGAAUUUCCCAAAUCUGACCUUACAGAUGUGUCCAGAACGGCCAAAAACCUUGGAAAUGACACUGAGAUCACCCCAAUCGGACUUCGGAUGGCUCAGAUUUUAGCAAUCAAAGUUUUGGAUUAACGGACGGUGCAGAUGCAGCCGCGUGUCAGCCAGAGUACCGCCUGCAUCGCACCGGAUAAAAACUCAGUAGCGGUUUUGAUGAAGCCACGUGUCAGCAGAUUAGACCCUGCAUCGCACCGGAUCAAAACUCAGUAAUGGUGCAGAUUUAGGCCACGUGGCAGCAGAUUAGAGUCUGCGUCGCACCAGAUCAAAACUCAAUAACGGUGCAGAUUAAGCCACGUGUCCGCAGAUUAGAGCCUGCGUCGCACCGGAUCAUAACUCCGUAACGGUGCAGAUUAAGCCACGUGUCAGAAGAUUAGAGCCUGCGGCACACCGGAGCAAAACUCAGUAUGAUGACGUGGCAGGUGACGUGGAUGUUGACCGCAUGGAUGUGCUGACGUGGCGGGUCAAACCCGACCCGUUUGCAGAAGCCGGGCGAAGAAGGAGCGUGGCGCGCGUACGGCACGUUGGUGCGCAUGGGCAGUCUGGACGUCGGCGCGUGUGGGCGCGUGCGGGCAUGCAGGACGUCGGUUCUUCGCCGGGGUUUCAACAGUGGAUUCGUCCGGUUGUCCUCUACACGAUGGUAUGUUCAAAAACACGUUUGGAGAACUUUGAUUUUUGAAUUUGGAUCAAACACACUCUUUGUCAAGAACAAGCUCUGAUACCAGUUGUUGGGAUAUUUCCAGAACUCAAACACACACAAUUUACGUGGUUCGGCAACUUGCCUACUCCACGGAGCUACUGGGUUGUAUUAAUUACUCAAAGAAACAAUACAACAACAAGAGGAGGAGAAUCUUCUCAACUCAACUCUACACUCAAGCUCUCUCUCUGUGUUUCUCUCUUUCUCUUCUUCUCACUGUGUUCUUCGUGCUCUCUGUGUUCUUCAUACACUACACAGCACACACACACACACACAGCUAUACAUAUACAAUGGAUGAGGGAAGGACAUCAUCAUUUAUGCCCACCGUUGCCUCCACUUUGUGUCCUCCACCAUGUGCAAAGUGGGGGAUUAGGAUUCCCACUUGCACAUGGUGGGGCUUGCUUGUCUCCAAUAAUUAACAACAAGUGGCCAUCAAAUAAAAUUUCCAAGAAGUAGAAUUUAAAACAUACCCAAAAAUGUUGUGAAUGCAACAUACUGAAUCUUCUGUAGGUGGAUUGGUAUUUCAUUUCCAAUGUCAUGAUGGAUAAUCGGAAAAAAUGGUGGCCAAUUCUUGUCCUCUAUUACAAUUCCAGCUGUCAAAAAAAAGAACAUUAUGUUAAACUAAAUAUCACCAUGCACAGCCUCAUUAUCAACAAAAUAAGCACCAAUAUGAUAAACAUACCACGUGCUAUUGCAUCUUCCUUCCGUUUUAGUUCCUGAAAAACAAAAGGAAAAUGGAUUCUAAAUUACCACGUGCUAUUGCAAUUUGCCAUGCGGGUCAACCCUAUAGCUCCUUUGGUUUUUUCCCAUGAUGUUACAGCACAAAAUACAAGUUUCCAAGUGACCAAGAGCAUUACAACUCGCCAUCAGCCCUAUAUUUUAUGAGACCAUUGUGUUCUUUCAUAGUCGAAGUUUCAUUUUCACAAACAAAAAUUAACCCAACAACAGAGAGGCCAGGUAACCUUUUCUAAUUCCUUGUUCAUUUCAAGGAUGAGCAUGGGUUCAAACCGUUCAUUUGAACUUAAAAAAUCCAACGAAACCGGAAUGAUAUGGAUUUUGCUGGAGCUAAAUUUAAGUUUCACUCAGAUUCAGGUGCAUUGCACCAAAAUUUCAUUGUCAAGAAUUACCCACAUAUAAUAAACAAAACAAUUGGCUAGCAGAUUUCUGCAAAAGCAAAGCUUGGUUGCAUGAUUUAAUGAACAAUGGAAUCACAAAUGAUUGACCAGAAGAAUGGAUUGUUCACAUUUCUUGCUACAGCUACCUUGAAGACUUCUCCGAGGUAUGUACUUGAGAUGUGGAUGUGAACAGUUAUUGUGUUAGCUCUCUGCAUUUGUUUACAGUUGAUGAUGCAUCUUCCAGUGUUGACAUUGUGGGAGAUUAAUACUUCAAAGCCUUACAUUCACAAGUUGAAUCCCAAGUUCUAUGUACCAAUUUGACUCAGUCACUGAUUGAUUCUUUGCUGGGGCGGUCUCUCCUUAUCAUGUCUGUUAGAUCCUGGACAACCUCAGACAUUGGUGGCCUGAAUUCUGGUUCAGACUGCAAGAUAUCAUUGUGGUUAGGUAAAGCUGAUCCUAUAUUUCGUUAUGUAAGGAAAAAAAUAUAUGACUACAACUAGAUGGCAUUCACUUGUUAAUGAUGAAUCAAGUCUUUGUGGAAACCAUAAAGAAACCAACAGUGCAAUUCUCACCUGAACACAUCGGGAAAUGAUAUCGGCAAAGUGUGAUGAAGAUUUGGCAGAGUAUUCUCCAUUAAGAGAGGGAUCAACCAUUUUUGACAAUGUGUCGAUGUCAUGGAGCUGGGGAUUGCCCAUUAUUGCCUGGCUUAGAUUGGAAAAAAAAAAAAUCCUAACACUACAAGAUUUCACAAUGUUACCGACGGAAAUAUUCCGUCGGUGUGUGACUGAGAGUCGUCGGUAACCUAUUUACCAACUAAAUUACCGACGGAAUAUGACCGGCGGAUUAUCUUUUGUCGGUGAUUCCACAUUCCAUCGCUAUAUCGAUCGAAAAUACAAAAAAAAAAAACAUUUCCCGACGGUUUUACAGACAGAAAUUGCACGCCAAAAAAAACAGUUUCCCCGCUUGAAAUAUACCGACGGAAAAUACUCCAUCGGUGAUAUAAUGUAUGACCGACGGACCAUAUCCGUUGGGAAAUUUGUCGGUGAAGGUUUGAAAUAUCGACCGAAUACAUCCGUCUGUAAAUUCGUCGGUACGUUUGGCAGCUACUGUCAAAUGCUGACGGAUUAUUUAUGUCGGUAACUCUGUCAGUGAGUGUAUGAAAUACCGACCGAAUGUAUCCGUCUGGAUAUGCGUCGGUGACGCUAAUACCAACGGAAGUAGUCCGUCAGUAAAGCCCUUUGUAAUUGUUUUUUUUAAUUUGUUUUUUAAAAUUAUUUAGAAUACAUUAAAAUGAUAUAAAUUAAUGGUAAUAAAAACCAAUUAUGCAAAUAAAAUUUAUAUUAAGCAUAAAAAACAAAAAAUGAAAGAUAAAUAAUAUUCAUUACAAAAUGAAUGUGUUUCAAAAAAACAUUAAACGAAAUUUUAAAUGUAAAUAAUGUUUAUUAAAAAUUAAUAUAAAGGAGGAGGAGGAGACUGGCUGUUAUUCGACCAAAAAGGAUUUGGCGAACAUGUUCCACCUUGUACCAUGUUCAUGACCAUUUGACGAAGCUCUUCAUAGGCCACUCUUUGUCGUUCAGACUCCACUCUGUGUUGUUCAGACUUCGCUCUUUGUUGUUUGGACGCCACUCUUUGUUGUUCUUUGAGUUGUGUGUACGCCUCUGAUAGGUGGUUGUACUUUUCGGUGAGCAGAGCCAUGUGUUGCUGCAAGGCCACACACUCCUUAGAUUGGGAGCUCGAUACUAAUUGGGAGCUCUCGACGGUUGAAGCAUUACGGGCCCACCGCAAGUUGUCGGCCGUAGUGUUGGAGAGCCCGUAAACCUGAUUUUUUUUGGGUCCACCUGACGAUCCAGCCUCGAUCCACAAAUCCUGAUCGAAUUCCGGAUGGGUCAAAGGAUCGUCCUCGUAUCUCUCCCUCAACCGAUUAUUAUAGAUCUCCUGAAAAUAAAAAAAGUAAUCAUUGUAUUCAAUUCAAUAAACAUAAUAAUAACUUACAAAAUAAAAUGGUUGAACAAAUAUACUAUAAAAUAUUGAGCACGGUUGUCAACGAACUGUUGCACCCUCUUUUGGCGGUCUUGACUCCGCACGUGCGUCUCCACAAACAACUCCAUAUGGCUCGGCUCACGUCCAAGAGACGUAGCCCAUAAUGAAAAAAAUUUAUUAACAACAAAUUAAUUGAACGAUAUUUUUCAUUUAAAUUAAUCUUACCAGCCGUUUUGCAUGUGCAGCAAACGGAACGGAGCCGCCGGUAUGCGUUGUCACCGAGCCAUGAAUUGGCCAAUUCCGGUUGCCAGCAGCGGACUGUGAGCGUCGUGUGAACCACUCAGACGUCACGUGCUGAAGAUAGUGCGGCCAUUAUCUUCUAGGAUGUAUAUCGGUUUGAAAUCCCUCCAAACCGCAACAUCAUUCCAACCUUGGAACCCCUUAUCCCUCGUAGUUUUUUUUGCCUUUUUUUGGGAUUCGUACCAAAAAUCACGCAACCUACUUCAUGCAAGCAAUAUUACAUUUCGAAACAUAAUUUUUUUUGUAAAAAAAAAGUUGUAUUGUUUUCGAUGUUACCUAGUUGCCAUGGGAUUUUCCCACACCCUCCUCACAACAGUGUUAUGUUCCUCGUUCCAGCAAAAUCGAUUCUGUGUAUAAAAAAAUAAUUUUUUAAAAUGUUAAUAAUUUAUUUACAAUUAUAUUAAGAAUUUAUUAGAAAUAAGCUGAAAAUUAUAUAUUAACACGAACCUGAAAUCUGAAAAACCAUGCAUUGAUUUGAGGCAUCCAUUCAGGAUGCCUGGAUAUCCGACUCCAUUAAAAUAAUGUAAUCUCCAUCGACGAUUUAAAUGCCAAUGAUAUUUCUCGAGUGGCCUCAAUGUUUGUGAACCUGAAAAGAAAUGAAAUUAAUUAAAUAGUGACUUCAUAAAUUAUGUUUUAAAUUUGUUUUUAAAAAAAAAAACUAAAACCUUAACAAACUUACAUUGAAAGAUCGUCCUUCCACUGUGCCUCGUACUUACUGGUAAAUUGAUUCCGCUGUGAAGGCACGUCGCUUCUGCGCUGUGAAACAACGCUAGAAGAGGUAGCAUCGGUUGACGACGCAAGUGGUGUAGGUGCCUCUUCUUGAGAGGCACCUAAGGAAUUAUCAUCCUCGCUGCUAAACGAACUUGAUGCGAACGAACGUGAAGCUCUGGUUUUCAUUCUGCGCAUCUAACCAAUUUUAUAUAAAUAAUUAUAUAAUUAAAUUCAAAUGUUAAAAAAAAUUCGGCAGUACCUCCCCUAUACUGGAUACUACCCAAAUCCAAAAACCUGCAAAUAUUAACAAUAGCCACAACCAAUUGACCCAAUCUAUACUAAUUAUUCCAACAUAUUCAAUUACUAAUCCUAAGGUAAAUUCAACAUUAACAAUUACAAUUCAACAAAUUCUUCAAUAAUUAUGCCAAUACAACAAAACAAUAAAUUCAAAAUAAAUAGAAACAAUUAAACACAAAUCAUGCAAUAAUAGAGUAAAAUUAAUAAUUCUUCCAACAUAUUCAAUUACUAAUUCUAUGGUAAAUUCAACAUUAACAAUAUUAAUUCAACAAAUUAUUAAAUAAUUAUGCCAAUACAACAAUAAAAUAUAUUCAAUAAAUUAAAAAAGAAUUAUAGCCUAACAAUUAAAAUCAAUGGAAACAAUUAAACACAAAUCAUGCAAUAAUAUAAAAAAAUUACUAAUUAUUCCAACAUAUCCAAUUACUAAUUCUAAGGUAAAUUCAACAUUAACAAUUAUAAUUCAACAAAUUAUUCAAUAAUUAUGUCAAUACAACAAUAAAAUAUAUUCAAUAAAUUAAAAACAAAUUAUAAACUAACAAUUAAAAGCAAUGGAAAUAAUUAAACACAAAUCAUGCAAUAAUAGAGUAAAAUUACUAAUUAUUCCAACAUAUGCAAUUACUAAUUCUAAGGUAAAUUCAACAUUAACAACAAAUAUUCAACAAAUUAACUAAUAACAACUAUGCCGACACAACAAUAAAAAAUAUUCAAAAAAUUCAAAAAAAAAAAACUAUAGACUUUAGGAAAGAAAUAUACAUACCUUAAUAAUGCGUUGAAUUCAAAACUUUAUCUACAUUACAAAAAAAUACACCAAAACAACAAAAUAACAAAAAUAAAAACAACUACAAAAAAAAUAAAAUCGAAGAAAACACAUACCUUUUAAUGUGAUGAAGAUUCACAACAACAAAUCUUGCUAGAGAUUCUAGGUGAAAGCCUUGAAGGAUUAAGAGGAAAAAAAUUGAAAUUUUGAGGUGAAAAACGAAGGAGAAGAAAAAAUGAACCGAAGUGGCAGGCACUGGAAUUUAUAGGGCAGAUUUCCGGACGGAUUCACCGACGGCAAUUAAAAUUUUUUUUUUUUUUAAGUCCGUCGGUAAUUUUUGAAUUUCACACUAGAAUUUUUAAUUACCCUCCAUAUUUUUCGCGGUCCGUCGGUAAGCUGACAUGGUCAGAGAUGCAUUCAAUUCACACCCUUUGGAAUUCGCACAUUCCGUCAGUAUUUGUGUCGGUAAAAUUUACCCACCAACAAAUUACAGACGGAAGUAUUUUGUCGGUAUCAGCGUCGAUAACAUCGUCGGUACUGACGUUAGUGAUUAUGGCAUUUUUUUGUAAUUAUUUUUGAACUCUCUGUGAGAUGCCGACGGAUAGUGGUCCGUCGGUAUGGAUGUCGGUGAUUCUAGCAUUUUGUUGUAAUUAUUUUUUAACUCUCUGUGAGAUGCCGACGGACAACGAUCCGUCGGUAUGGACGUCGGUGAUUGUGGUAUUUUGUUGUAAUUAUUUUCAAAUUUGUGAGAUGCCGACGGACAAUGGUCCGUCGGUAUGGACAUCGGUGAAUGUUCAAUGUACAAGAGAUGUUGUGUUUGUAUUUUCUAUUUACCUUCCUGCAAAAAAUUCAAUGAUAAAUUGUCCAUCGCAAAACAAUAGCAACAGUGCUUCAACAAUAAAUAUAUAUUUCGUGUUACAAAACAUAUCAUCCAUAAUGUAAAUUACAUGAAGAAAAGGGUUUUACACAGGGCUUCGUUUUGAUAGUUAGUCAGAAUUAUCUUCUUCUUCGUCAUCAAUUGAAUAGUCAUCACCUUCAUCGCAAUCUUCAAUAUGGAUAUCAUCUUCUUCAUCGACAUUUGCUUGUCUGCUAUAGCUCAAAACAACGUUCAACUCCUCUACGUCAACAUCAACAAGACUAUCAUCGGAAACACGAAAAUCUGAAUUUUCUUCCAAUUCAAUCGAAGGAGCAACUCAAUAUGAUUCAACCAACUCACUAACUUGAAAGACUUCAUCCUGCACACUUGUGUCUUCGUUCUCAUCCUGAACAACCUCGUCACGACCCCGUGGUUUCGUUUUUAAAAUGGACAACCAAUCAACUCUUGAUCGAUCCUUUCUAAAUAAAGGGGUGUAUGUGUAAUAAACUUGUUGACAUUGCUUUGUGAAAACAAAGACAUCGUUUAUAUUGUGGAGUCUAGCUUUUGAGUUGAUUUCGACCAUACCAUAGUGUGAAUCAACUCUGAUUCCUCUGUCCGUCAUGUCAUACCAAUAGCAUUUGAAUAAAAACACUUUAUUCUGCUCGCUAUGAUAUUGUAGUUCGAUGACCUCUUCUAAUCUACCAUAGUAGUCAACUUCUAACUCACUACUUGUGGAUCCUUCAGUUGUAUGUCUUUCUUCCUUGUCCGUAUUCUUCAGUAUGGAAAACAUAUCCAUUAACAAAAUACACAUUGUAGCACUUAACUUUUUUCUUUCAGGCCCGAGGCUUAGUCAAGACAAUGACUUAGACGCACUCCUUCCCAUUUGAUAAACCUUGUAUAUAUGUAAUGUACAUCAAUAAACGGUAAAUGAAUGAGAAUCUUGUAAUGACAUGCAUACGUACAGUAAUUUUGCAAGUUAGAAUGAGUUUGUGAUAGUGCUUACAUGUGUUCUGAACCAUGUGACAAAUUGUUCAUCUUGUAAUUGAAAGAUGUGGGAGUCGGUCAGUUGCGAGUUAUUGGAGAGAAAAUAUUGUCGAUGCUGCCUGCAAGUGAUAAUGAGUGUAUGAUAUCACAAUAUAUAAUUAGCAGUAUAUUACUGACAAAGUUUAAUUAGUAUUACACAUAUAUAAACUUACUGAAUAAAUGGUCUCAGCUCAUCACAGUUAAAUAAAACAUAGUUGUGUGCUUGUUUGAAUUCUAUUUCCGACAAAUAUCUUCCUCUUACGGCAUUUUUAGGUGUGGGUCGUCCAGUAUUGGAGAAUAUUGACAAGUUCCCACUGGAAGGCACUUCACCGCCAUCAUCAUGCCGUGGAACGUGAAUGAUUCUUGUUCUCAGAUGAGGUUCAAAAUAGUACGAGAUAAAUGUUGAGAUCUCUUCAACAAUAUAGGCCUCAGAUAUCGAAGCCUCUACAUGCGCCUUGUUCUUAACCUUUUUCUUGAGAUUAAACAAGUACCUGCAUUGAAUUACAAUUCAAGUAUUUCCAAUUAAGAAAAACAUAAAAUACUUUAGAUAUGAAUUCCAUUGCAACUGUAAUAUCUCACCGUUCGAAUGGGUACAUCCAUCUAUACUGGACCGGUCCUCCAGCUUUUGCCUCGAACGGUAGAUGUAUAGGGAGAUGCUCCAUUGAGUCAAAAAAUGGAGGGAAUAUCAUCUCAAGUUUGCAUAGUGUCUCGAUGAUAUUCGUUUGAAGCCUCUCAAUGUGCUCAACAUUCAACUUGCUGGAGCAUAUAUCUCUGAAGAAAUGACUGAUCUCGUCAGUGCAUCCCAUAUUCCCUUUGGCAACAAAUCACGAAAAGCUAAUGGGAUGAGUGUUUGCAUAAACACGUGGCAGUCAUGACUCUUCAUUCCAUACAAUCUGCAGUCCUCUAUGUUAACAAGCCUUGAUAUGUUCGAUGCAUGUCCAUCCGGGAAAACGCAGACUCUUAAGCCAUUUGUAGACUAGCAGUUGUGCGUUUUUCUCUAACACGAAGCUUGCCCUUGGUUUUGACCCGUGACUCCUCAUAAACCAACUCCAUAUUUUUACGGUUACAGUAUAAAGCUAUAUCCAAUCUAGCCUUCAUGUUGUCCUUUGUCUUCCUCUUCACAUCCAUGACGGUGUUGAAAAUAUUCUCAAACACGUUCUUUUCGAUGUGCAUGACGUCAAGGUUAUGGCGGAGAAGGUUGGUCUUCCAAUAAGGAAGCUCCCAAAAGAUACUUCGCUUUACCCAAUUAUGGGUCAAACCAAAACCAGGAAACUUUUGCUUACCUGAUUGAAGGUCAAACACAAUGUCACUGUACUCUGAUACAACAUGAUGCAAUUAUUCACCAGAAAGACGCGGGGAUGCAACAUCUUUUUCAACUCUGCUAACAAAGAAAUCUUUUCUAGUUCUUUCUGAACCUGUGAUUAAGUGGCAAAAAGUGACGGUGACAGUCAAAAAAAGAAACUUUACCUCUGUUUGCUAGCGUGAAUGCCUUGUUGUUUUCCAUGUAGUAUGGACAUGCGAGUUUCCCAUGCGUGCUCCAACCAAAAAGCAUUUCAUAAGCUGGAAAAUCAUUGAUAGUCCACAUCAAAGCCGCCUUCAUAAGGAAAUUUUCUUUCCUCGAUAUAUCAUAAGUCAAAGCUCCGGAGGACCACAACUGCGCAACUCAUCAAUCAACGGUCCAAGACAAACAUCUAUAUUUCACCCCGGGCUGCUUGAUAAAAACAUGAACUCCGGCCUCAUACACAUUCCUGGUGGCAAGUUAUAAACUGUGAGUAUGACCGGCCAACAAGAAUAGGGAGCAGCAAAUGACCCAAAUGGGUUCAAUCCGUCUGUACACAACCCAAGACGGGCAUUCCUUGAUUCAGCUAAAAAGUCAGGAUGCACACUGUUAAAGUGUUUCCACGCUUCGUUGUUAGAAGGAUGCACCAUCACACCAUCAACCGCAUCACGUGUUUGGGCCAUGUCAUGUGCUCAACAGUCCUUGGUGACAUGAAUAACCUCUGCAGUCUAGGUGUGAUCAGGAAAUAUCUAAGUUUUUUAUACGCCACUAGAGUCUUUCCCCUGCCAGUUCUGGGCAUGUCAUGCUCUCGGUCAUCUCAGCAUUUUAAAGGUAGUAUAACAUGCAGAAGUUAGGGCACAUGUCAAUUUUCUGGUAUCCUAAACCGAGGGGUUUCAUCAUGGACUUCGUAGCAUAGAAAUUCUCUUCCAGCCUGUUCCCUUCAGGUAAAAAUGCUUCUUUCCCAAUCAAUAAUUUUGUCAUACCCAGCCUCACUCAACCCGUGAUCUGACUUGAUGGUGAACACAUGUGCCACGGCCGAUAAUUUAAUGUGGCUUGUGCAGCCAUCCCAUAAUGGUUCAUUAGAAUCUUUCAACAAAUCAAAAAAACCUAGCUGCCUCUAUAUUAGGUUCUUCUUCUAUGAUUGUACAUUGACUGACAUUACCUUGAUUCAUUCUCAUUGCAUCCAUAACCAUAUUUCUGUAAGGAUUAGUGUUAUCAUUUGCCACUUCAUGCACGUUGCUAGCACUAGAAGUUAACCCAACCACCGUUUCUCUCAUUCUCCUAUUACUAACAAAUAGCUCUCCAUGUGCAUACCAACACUGGUAAUCCUCCAUAAACCCUUUGUGUAGAAGAUACAUCAUUACAACAUCUGAAUGCAGAUACUUUUUAUUUUGACAUUUCAUGCAUGGACACCUAAUACCGCCUCCAGUAAAAUUUCUGGGAAUAGAUGUUGCAAAAUUAAUAAAACCCUGAACCCCGUUACAAUAAUCCAUCCUUCACAAUCCUUGGGGUGAAUCUAGAUACAUCCAUGAAUGAUCAUCCAUGACUUCUAUCGAACCUCUAUAAAAUUAUGAUGACAUCAUGUAUUAAUUAACUAAGUUAGGUAAAUAAACUUGCAAAAAUAUUACUUUACCUCGAGAUUAUCCAACAAACCAAUCACAACUUCUCAUAAAUAUUAAAUAUUCAUUAUCAUUUAUCAACGUCCAUACAAAUUAAUAUAUAUAAAUUAAUAGAAAUUACCACUCUGCAAUACCAUCGAUAAAACUUAAAAAAAACUCAUUAAGCAAGCUAUUAAUUAUUUCAAAACAGAACAUGUAAUUCGGUAAUUCCACAAAGUUUUAACAAUUUACAAACAAAUACAAUCUUACAAAAUCUAAAACAAACCAUAACAGGUAUAAAAUUAUACAUUCAUAUACUACAAGUUUGUUUGAGAAAUAACAAUAAAACAUUUACAUCUACUAAUAAAAAUACAUAUACUAAAAAAACAAUAAAAUUGACAUUUAAAUGUUAAAAUUUAAACAGAUAAAAUUACUUAUAAAAAAUGAUAAAAUCCAUCGGUAAAUCAGAACACGAAUGUUGUGACCACAAAACUUCAAGAAAUACAACUUGUUGUGCUGAGAUGAGGAAGAAUUUUGUUUGGGUGCGAGGGGUGGUGUUGGCUAGUUAUUUGCAGAUGGGGAGAGUUAGGAUUAGGAAGACGAAGGAGAAAUGGGGGAGGAGAGGGUCGGCAGAGGGGCCAUAUAUUAACUUUUUCUGACGGAUUCACAAACGGAUUAAACCCGUCGGUGAAUCCGUCGGCUAUUCUGACGGGAAAAUCGACACAUCACCGCACAGACCUACUUUUCAAAUACCUCGGUGAUUCCAUCGGUAUGGUUAACGGUGAACUGGUCAUGUCACCCGUACGGAUCUGCCAUUUCAAAUCCCUCGGUGAUUCCAUCGGUAUUUUUUACAGUGAACCGGUCCCGUCACCCGUACGUACGGGUCACCCGUUUCGAAUCCGUCAGUGACUUCGUCGGUAUUUUUUAUGGUGCACCCAUCCCGUCACCCGUACGAGUCACCCGUUUUGAAUCCGUCGGUGAUUCUAUCGGAAAUAUCACCCGCCAAAACCUCCACGUCAAGGACCCGCCCUUUUUUUCUAAAUUCUAAAAUUUUUAUCCGUAAUUCGGUCGGUAAUUACCGACGGACUACAACCGUCAGUAAUUACCAACCAAAUUACAGACGGAAAAAUUCCGUCGAUAAUUUCGACCUCAAAUUACCGACAAAAAUAUUAUGUCGGUGAUUCCCUUGCUAUUAAGCGAAUUUCUGGUAGUGAUAAAUGGUUGAGACUGGCCGAGUAGAAUUGUUAGGAUGAUGCUGGACGUGGUGUUAUUACUUGGUAUUGAUCAGCUAGAGCUAGUACAUGGGUCACUAUUAACUAGAGUGGUAUUGUUGAUUAGUGUCCAGGAAUUACUAAAGACGUUUGUCGCACCCCAAAAAAUAAAAAAUCAAAUUCAUCAAUUGCGGGUUCGACUGGCGAUUUUUUUUUAUUUUUGGUUCUUUGGAGUCGCCACCUAGUAUUUUGGUCACUAGGAACCUAACUGGUCUCAGAGAUUGGGUACGGAGACUGGUUGCGUAAAGGGAGGUAUUAGCACCCCCAAAUACGCCCUACCUAAGGUAAGCUGCAUUGUUUAUUGUCUGAAAAACUAAAUGUUGUGUGUUUUCCUAGUUGUUGAUCUGUCUAUAGUUCAGAAAAAUCCUCCUCAGUAAGAAGGUCUUUUAUCUUAUCGGGUAAAAAUCCUAAACGUUCUAAAGUUCCAUCAAAAUUUUAUUAAUAAUACAAUACGUUUUACGUAUAAAUUCGUAAUCCCAAAUACUAAAAUAAAACAAAAAGAUGUUUUAGAAUUUUUGAAAUAUUGGCCUAGUUCUCAUGGCUUGAAUAAACUGGUUAUUAAAGCCAAAAUGCAUGUUAAUACAUAUAUUGUUUUUGAAAAUUUUCUUUGUUGUAUGAAAAUAUGAUGUUAUAAUAUUUAUGUAUAUAUAUUGGAGAGACUAGGCCCAAACCAAACUGGGCCGGACCCAGCCCUAACAGUCGUUGGGCCGACCUCGGCCCAACCGGUACUGGGCCGACCUCGGCCCAGAAGGCACUGGGCCGACCUCGGCCCAGAAACUAAUUAACCUCGGUCUAGGCCGGACCCGGCCCAGACCGCCGAACUGGGCCAGAUCCCUCUGGCCCGUCCACAUAACUCUGGGCCAGACACAAUCUGGCCCAGAGAAAGAAAAAAAAAGAAAACACGGGGGGGGGAAUUAAUUCCCCCCCCCCGCCUCCUGCAUGCAGAACAAUUCUGCAUGCAGGAGGCAAAACAUAUACAUAUUAACAAAAAAAAUGCAGGGGGAGGAGAGGAGGCGUACCUGGUGCUGGCGGAGCUGCGAUGGUGGUGGCAGUGUCCUCGCUUCACGGACGGCGGCUUCUCUCUCCUCUGUUACAGGGUUUCUCUCUCUUCCUCUCUCUCUUCGUUUUUUUUUUUUUUGUUUCGGGGUUCCUCUCUUUCUCUCUUUUUUUUCGUGUUAUUCUUUUCUCUUCCCCUCUAUCUCGCUGGUUCUAUCUCUCUCUUCGGCCUCGUCUCCCUCUUCGGUCUCCUCUCUCUCCUCUCGGCCUCUCUCUAUUUAUAAGCAAAAAGGAAACGGCGUGCCUUCGUUAGUGCGCCUUCAAUCACGCAACGGCUGGUCGGCCAUUCUUGCUUUCGGUGGUGGUGGUGGGGACGAGGAGAGGAGAGGCGGGAAGUUUUGAAAUUUUUCCUUUUUUUUUUUUCUUUCGUUUCUGUUCUGUUGAAACGGGGGAGGAGGAAGAUGAACAGUGUCGUUCAAAACGACACCGUUCUGAUCUUCCUCUUUUUUUUUUCUUUUUUUUUUUAAUAUAUAUAUGAAACGGCGUCGUUUUGGGUAAAACGCGUCGUUUCAUUUAAACGGCUAAACUUCAAAUCAGUCCUCCAAAUUCGGUCCCCGUCCCUCUUGUUGGCCGCCUUUUUCACUUUGGUCCUUGGCCUCUGAUUUAUGCAAUUGAGCCCCUAAUUGAUCAAUAAACUUCCAAUUUCUUCAAUUAAGCCCCUGAAACAAAAAUUAGCAGCCCCUCCAUUUACGCGCCUCUUCCAAUUUGGUCCCUGGUUUCGGAUUUUCUUAAUUAAAUCCCUAAUUGGCCCUUAAACUUCAAUAUUUAUGCAAUUGAGCCCCUGAUUUGACCCAAUAAAUUCCUAAAAAAUAUAUUUUGGCCCCAGAACUUAAAUUUCUCCAAAUUAAAGCCCAAAUUGACUUAAAAAUCAAUUUUUCUUGGAAUCAAAUCUUCUAUAUUCAAAUAAAAAUCCAAUUAAGUCCUAAAAAUCCAACUAAGCCCAUAAAAUCCAAUUAAGCCCAUAAAAAUCCAAAUUUGGCUUUUCUCCCUAAAAUUCAAAAUUUUCAUUCUCAAUAGGGCUUUCAUCCUUCAAGAAUAUACUGUAAAAAAUUCAAUCCUUGUAUUUUUAAAUUCCUUGACCAAUUUUCUGACUGCUUUCCGGACGCUUCUGCUUCCGGUUAUUUUCCUAACCUCUUUUGGCUAUUUAUUUUAUUUUUCAGGGGGACCCAAAAAUGGGUUACAACAGAUGCCCCCUCUUUAUAAUACUUACGGAGCAUGGGUUUUGCGCAGUAAGUGUUAUAAAGAUAAACCCAAAACGGAACUCCUGAAACUGAUCUGGUCGAAGCUUGAUUGAUCUGAAACUUUGUCCUUUACAACAAUCCUCCUUAGCCCAAAAACUAUGAUCAAAACUUAGCCAUCUCGAGAUCCUUAUCCAGCAGUCCUCUGAAUUCUUACUUUAGUUUGAUCAACAUGGAAAUCCAUCCGAGAUCCUAUCUAGUGAUCUUCUUUAACCUGGAAUCCCAUCCGGCGAUUCCUUUACUCAUAACCAAUACAAAAAUGUGUGCGUGGUCUCAUUAUGAUGGGUGACCUGCCCGAAAAAAUAUGGUCUCAUUGUGAUGGGUGACCUACCCAAGAAAAAAAAAAAAGGAAUGGUCUCAUUGUAUGGGUGACCUACCCAGAAAAAUAAUGGUCUCAUUGUAUGGGUGACCUACCCAAGAUAAUGGUCUCAUUGUAUGGGUGACCUACCCAAAAAAUAAUGGUCUCAUUGUAUGGGUGACCUACCCAAGAAAAAUGAUGGUCUCAUUGUAUGGGUGACCUACCCAAGAAAAAUGAUGGUCUCAUUGUAUGGGUGACCUACCCCAGAAAAAUAAUGGUCUCAUUGUACGGGUGACCUACCCAAGAAAAAUGAUGGAGAAUGGUCUCAUUGUAUGGGUGACCUACCCAGGAAAAAUGAUGGUCUCAUUGUAUGGGUGACCUACCCAAGAAAAAUGAUGGUCUCAUUGUAUGGAUGACCUACCCCAGAAAAAUAAUGGUCUCAUUGUACGGGUGACCUACCCAAGAAAAAUGAUGGUCUCAUUGUAUGGGUGACUAACCCAAGGGGAAUAAUUCUUAGUAAACUCCAUGCUUUUCUAAGAAAUGGUUUCAAUAUAAGGUCCCUUCUGGCGACCUUCCUUGAUGAAUGUCGAAGUACGAGAUCCCUUCUAGCGAUCUCAAAUAACUUGGAAUCCCAUCUGGCGAUUCCUUUUAUUCAAAGCUGAAAUAUUAGGUCCCUUUUGGCGACCCUUAUCGAAAUAUGAGAUCCCUUCUAGCGAUCUUCUUUAGCCAAACAACUUGGAAUCCCAUCUGGCGAUUCCUUUUAUACCAAAGCUGAAAUUUGAGGUCCCUUCUGGCGACCUCCAUUGAUGAAUAUCGAAAACGAGACCCCUUCUGGCGAUCUCAAACAACUUGGAAUCCCAUCUGGUGAUUCCUUUUAUUCAAAGCUGAAAUGUGAGGUCCCUUCUGGCGACCUCCAUCGAAAUACAAGAUCCCUUCUGGCGAUCUCAACAACUUGGAAUCACAUCUGGUGAUUCCUUUUAUACAAAAGCUGAAAUUUGAGGUCCCUUCUAGCGACCUCCAUCGAAAUACGAGAUCCCUUCUGUUGAUCUCAACAACUUGGAAUCCCAUUUGGCGAUUCCUUUUUACCGAAUGCUAUCGAUGUCGUUCUUCCUGCUGGCAGGGUUUGAAAACCAUUAUCUUCUCUUCUUGUUGUUCUAAGAAUCAACUCAAUGAUUCUUUCUUCGUCCAUAAUCUUGUUGGAAUGCGCUAAGAUCUCCUCCUGUAACGAUUCAAAAAAACAUAUAUGCAAUGAUUUAUGAUUAGAUGCAAUGCAUGCAUUUAUACCUGGUUUUGAAACAUAGGUCCCGGCCUCUUCUUCUAGUUCAUGAGACUCCCUCUUAACAUGAACUUGCUUUUGAAGUCGUAUGCUGGAUUUAUCUCUUGUGUUGCCUAUCAUAUUCUUGGAGAAGAAGUCUUUGACUUUCUUCAAGUAGUCCUUUCCUCAAAAUGUAUGACUUGUAUUUGCCUCUUUGUCAUGCUUUUAUCAAAUGCUUUAGCUUGGUUUUCAAAUCUAGGCUUUCGUAAAACUUUUCAUAAAACAUCUCGUCUUGCCCCCAGUGUAGGGGUGCGAUCCUAGUCUGGGCUUUUAUAUAGAGAAGAAAUUCAUUUCAACUCAAAACAAAACCACCAACAAAAAAUUCUUUAGAGAGUGAAAGGACAAUAAUAAUAAUUUUUUUUUUCAAAAAUGCACAUUGUUAGGAUUGAUAAACUCUAUUUUUAUCUUGAAAGAAAAUUUACAGGUGAUGUAUCAAUUCAUUAUAUUAUCCAGAGGUGAGGUUGUAUUUCAAGGGUAGCUUUUCUUAAAUUUCAUAUUAAACCCUUUUAUGAUACUUUAUUUGUAACCACUCAAACUUGUUAAAAAAAAUGCAUAAUCUCAUCAUUUAUUUAAAGAAAAGGUAGGCUUAAAGACAAACACAAAAUCUGGCUGACAUCAUGAGCCCUCAUUGCCCACUAGAGAAAAAUAAAAGCAAUGACAAAAGCAAAUGACAAAAACAUGCUAAGGCAAAUAAAGUUGUUUUACAUUUUGAAAACUACGAGAAGUUCUUGGGUCAACCCGUUCUGAAACUUCUUCUAGUGUGUGGAAAGCCAACCGAGGCAAUGCUUCAUCUUCCUUCCCCACUUGCGUUUCCUUGACUUCUUCUUCAAUCUCGCCUUCUUUAUUAUUGACGAUUCUUGACCAAGGUUUUCCAACCCUUUAUCCCCUAUCACUUUUGUCAUGUGGCGAUGGAUUUGAACUGAUAUUGGGUGUGUCUUCAAAUGACACCCAUCCUAUCUUGAUGAGCUUCAACAACUUGUUCUUGAAACCAUAGCACGUUUCAAGACAAUGCCCGGGAAUACCAGCAUGGUACUCGCAAGUCAACUCGGGCUUAUACCAGAUGGGGAAUGGUGGCUGUAGUGGUAAUGUAGGGAUAGGAGCUAUUUGUCCAAUGCUUAGUAGUUUGGCAUAUAUGUCCUUUAGAGGCAUGGGUAAUGGCGGUAGUUGUUCUGAAAUGUAUCUUGUGUUUGGUCGUUGGUGGUUGUUUUGGGUGUUUGACUGGCCAUUUGCUCGAUUAGGGGAAAAAGGUUUGUUAAAGUUUAUGUGGGCCACAUGAGAGGUAGGUAUUUGUGGGUUAUAUGAAUCUGUUAUCUUGUCAUUGGACCCACCUUCGAAGUUGUUAACGGGACCUUUCAUUUUUCUUCCGAAAAUACCCUUUGUCUCCAAUGGCUCAAUUAUGCGUCCAACUUUAAUCCCUUGCUCUAUUCUUUCCGCUAUGCGUACAGCAUCAUAGAAAUGUUGAGAUGAGCUACCCAUUAAAUGCUCAUAGUAGGGUGCCUUGAAUGUAUUGGCGAACAAAGUCACCAUCUCCGUUUCUAUCAAAGGGGGUUGCACAUGCAUGGCCUCGUCCCUCCAUCUUUGCGCAUAAGCCCUUACUGAUUCUUGGCUUCUCUUUUCCAUUGACAUAAGGCUCGUUCGAUCUGGAGCAAUUUCCAAAUUGAACUUGUAUUGCUUAAGGAAAGCCUCAACUAAAUCCUUCCAUUUCUUGUUUGGCAUUAUCCAGCCUCAUGUACCAACUUACGCCGACCCCGAUAGACUGUCUUGGAAAAAGUAGAUCAGUAACUUAUCGUCAUGAAUCACCUCAGCCAUCUUAUUGCAAUAAGAUCGAAGGUGAGUGUUUGGGCAUUCCAACCCAGUGUACUUUAUAAACUCUGGUAUCCUAAAUUUUUUGGUAUCGUGAUGUUUGGUACCAAGCAUAUUUCAGAUGCUCGCAUGGGGUCAAACCAGUCAUUUCCCUCGACUGCUCUUAACCUUUCUUCCAAGGCUGAUAUCUUGUCAUCGUUCAUAAAUCCGGUGGACCUAUUAUCGGGAGGCCCUUCCACAGUGAUGUGAGCUUGAGGGGGUUGAAUGGGAAUGGUAGGUGCAAAGUGCUGCCCCGUCACUGAAUCUGCCCCCAAGUUCUGAGAUGCCCCCGGAACAUGAACUGAUGGUGCUCCUAUAUGUGGUUGGGUAGAUGUUCCCUCCCCAUUCUUGGCUCUUAAAAGUUGCUCAAGCAGACUGGUCAGUCGAGAAACUUCAUUUUUCACGGAUUCCAACUCGGUCUGGUAGUGCGACUCUAACUGAGCUCUUUCUUCGUUUUCCAUUCUUGAUCUGGACCGGGUUUGGUGGACUCUGGAUGUAGGACCUAUGUUUCACGAUCUGUAAUGCAUAUGAUAACAAAAUGCGUGAUGAAAAUGUGAUGCACAAGUGAUGUGCGAUGAGUAUAACAUUAUUAAUCUUGAUGCAAAUAACCUAAGGACAAGCUCUAUUUAUUAAGUGAUAGUGGGUAAGUUUUCUAUCUGGUCUUGAAGGGUCUCAUAUCUGCCCAGUGACGUUCUUCGUAAAGACAGUAUGGGGGCGUUGCAAGGAACAGUUAAGACACGUAUGUCCACCAUUACCAAGCAGGCACUCAGAUAUGAGUUGGGUGUUUCACGCAUUUAAACCCUGACCAAUAGUCUUAGGGUAAAUCGCUAAUUCCCCACUUAACUUAAGGCUUGUGUGUGCUUUUCAAAAUAAAAGCAAGUGAUGCAUGAGACAAUUUUAUACAAUGCAUAAAUAAUACGCGUAAACUAAAAAACAAAUAUGCAAAUAAACGAAAAGGCAUAUUAACAAUAAACACAUGAAAACACAAACAAAUCAGACAAAAACAAAGCUUAGUCUACAAGGUCCCUAGUGGAGUCGCCAUUCUGUCGCACCCCAAAAAAUAAAAAAUCAAAUUCAUCAAUUGCGGGUUCGACUGGCGAUUUUUUUUUAUUUUUGGUUCUUUGGAGUCGCCACCUAGUAUUUUGGUCACUAGGAACCUAACUGGUCUUAGAGAUUGGGUACGGAGACUGGUUGCGUAAAGGGAAGGUAUUAGCACCCCAAAUACGCCCUACCUAAGGUAAGCUGCAUUGUUUUAUUGUCUGAUAAAAAACUAAAGUGUUGUUGUGUUUUCCUAGUUGUUGAUCUGUCUAUAGUUCAAGAAAAAUCCUCCUCAGUAAGAAGGUCUUUUAUCUUAUCGGGUAAAAAUCCUAACGUUCUAAGUCCAUACCAAAUUUUAUUAAUAAUACUUAGGAAUACGUUUUACGUAUAAAUUCGUAAUCCCAAAUACUAAAAUAAAACAAAAAGAUUUUUUAGAAUUUUUGAAAUAUUGGCCUAGUUCUCAUGGCUUGAAUAAAUUGGUUAUUAAAGCCAAAAUGCAUGUUAAUACAUAUAUUGUUUUUGAAAAUUUUCUUUGUUGUAUGAAAAUAUGAUGUUAUAAUAUUUAUGUAUAUAUAUUGGAGAGACUAGGCCGUAUUUUUAAAACAAAAAAACAAUUUUUGGAAAAUAUUAUUUUUUUUUAUGCUUUGACGAAAAUCGGGUAUUUUAAUACUGAGCUUGUAUCCUUACGGUAUAAAAAUACAACCCAAUAUUAAUCCGCUUUGAUAAAAAUCAACAAUAUUUUUAAGGAAUUUUUAGAAAUUUUUUUGAAAGCGAAAACAUUUUUUAUUCUGAAAAUCUUUGAUAUUUUGACGAAAACCGGGUAUUUUUAACACUGGUUUUGUAUCUUUACAGUAUAAAAAUACAAAACCAAAUGUGUAAAGCAACAAAAUAUUUAUAUGAAAAGAAAAUAACAACCAAAAAUUUUUUUUUUAGCUUUUUUUUUAAGGAAAAAAAAUGUAUAUAUGUAGAUACACAUAUAAUAAUAAUAAUAUAAUAUAAUUAUAAUAUAUUUAUAUAUUAAAAAGGGGCUGGCCGGCCCAAACCAAACUGGGCCGGACCCAGCCCUAACAGUCGUUGGGCCGACCUCGGCCCAGAAACUAAUUAACCUCGGUCUAGGCCGGACCCGGCCCAGACCGCCGGACUGGGCCAGAUCCCUCUGGCCCGUCCACAUAACUCUGGGCCAGACACAAUCUGGCCCAGAGAAAGAAAAAAAAAGAAAACACGGGGGGGGGGGGGGGAAUUAAUUUCCCCCCCCCCCCGCCUCCUGCAUGCAGAACAAUUCUGCAUGCAGGAGGCAAAACAUAUACAUAUUAACAAAAAAAAUGUAGGGGGAGGAGAGGAGGCGUACCUGGUGCUGGCGGAGCUGCGAUGGUGGUGGCAGUGUCCUCGCUUCACGGACGGCGGCUUCUCUCUCCUCUGUUACAGGGUUUCUCUCUUCCUCUCUCUCUUCGUUUUUUUUUUUUGUUUCGGGGUUCCUCUCUUCUCUCUUUUUUUCGUGUUAUUUUUUCUCUUCCCUCUAUCUCGCUGGUUCUAUCUCUCUCUUCGGCCUCGUCUCCCUCUUCGGUCUCCUCUCUCUCCUCUGGCCUCUCUCUAUUUAUAAGCAAAAAGGAAACGGCGUGCCUUCGUUAGUGCGCCUUCAAUCACGCAACGGCUGGUCGGCCAUUCUUGCUUUCGGUGGUGGUGGUGGGGACGAGGAGAGAGGCGGGAAGUUUUGAAAUUUUUCCUUUUUUUUUUUCUUUCGUUUCUGUUCUGUUAAACGGGGGAGGAGGAAGAUGAACAGUGUCGUUCAAAACGACACCGUUCUGAUCUUCCUCUUUUUUUUCUUUUUUUUUUUAAUAUAUAUAUGAAACGGCGUCGUUUUUGGGUAAAACGCGUCGUUUCAUUUAAACGGCUAAACUUCAAAUCAGUCCUCCAAAUUCGGUCCCCGUCCCUCUUGUUGGCCGCUCUUUUUCACUUUGGUCCUUGGCCUCUGAUUUAUGCAAUUGAGCCCCUAAUUGAUCAAUAAACUUCCAAUUUCUUCAAUUAAGCCCCUGAAACAAAAAUUAGCAGCCCCUCCAUUUACGCGCCUCUUCCAAUUUGGUCCCUGGUUUCGGAUUUUCUUAAUUAAAUCCCUAAUUGGCCCUUAAACUUCAAUAUUUAUGCAAUUGAGCCCCUGAUUUGACCCAAUAAAUUCCUAAAAAAUAUAUUUUGGCCCCAGAACUUAAAUUUCUCCAAAUUAAAGCCCAAAUUGACUUAAAAAUCAAUUUUUCUUGGAAUCAAAUCUUCUAUAAAUUCAAAUAAAAAUCCAAUUAAGUCCAUAAAAAUCCAAUUAAGCCCAUAAAAAUCCAAUUAAGCCCAUAAAAAUCCAAAUUUGGGCUUUUCUCCCUAAAAUUCAAAAUUUUCCUUCUCAAUAGGGCUUUCAUCCUUCAAGAAUAUACUGUAAAAAAUUCAAUCCUUGUAUUUUUAAAUUCCUUGACCAAUUUUCUGACUGCUUUCCGGGCGCUUCUGCUUCCGGUUAUUUUCCUAACCUCUUUUGGCUAUUUAUUUUAUUUUUCAGGGGGACCCAAAAAUGGGUUACAACAACGUUAAUGGAAAGGAACUAGGGAUCGAGGCUUUAAACACAAAUUCUAAUUGAGGGUUUAGAUUGAAGGGUUGGUGUCUUAAUCUAUAGAGUUGUUGUAAGGCAUUAGUGACUUGGAUAGGGAGAAAAGAAUCGUAAUUGAUGGAACCGAAAGGGAACCUAGUUCCUUUCAUAAGAACUAGUGUUUAUUCAGUGUUAGAAAUGAAAUUGUUAGAACAGAAGAUGUGAUGUGAUACUGUGGGGUAUUAGUAAUAGGAAGUACUCAUGUUAAAUAUGGCAGAUAGUAAAACAAGUUAUGAUGUUGAUUAGAUGAAUGCGUAGAACUCAAGAUUUAUAUUCGAGAUGAUGUCGAACAGAGUAAUUGAGAUGGUCAUUGGCAUAAUGAUGAUUAAACUAAAGUGAUUAGUCGAUUUCACUACUAGGAUACAUGAAUACCAUAGUUACGCUCAAGCAAACUUAGUCAUUUGAAUAUUUAUUUUGUUUUUCUUCCAAUUUUGGCUAGUGAUUACUAUAAUAUAUACAUUGCAAUUUUGUAAUUACAAGGUAUCUACUAAACUAUAUUAAUUAACUUCUCACUAAUAUUUAAUUAACAUAUAUUAUUUGAUUUGUAAUUAAUUGAAUUAAACAUAUAAAUUAUUUUUUUCAUUCAUCAUGACAAUGCCAGAAUCUUCUUCUCUUGUGUUCUAAAUUAAAUUGAAAUCCAAGCCGCAAUGUAAUUAGGAUACAUUGACUAGUAUUAUAACAUUAUUUAAAGAACAAUAGCGGUAACAAUCAAUAUAUUAUUAUUAGAUAAUCAAGUUAUUAUAUUAUUUUUAAUUAUUUUUUAUAUUUAGGAAACUACUAAAUUGCCCCUAAACUGAUUUAAUAAUAAUAAUAAAAACCAUUAUGAAAAGAUAAAAAAACCCUUUUAUAUGCAUCAUCUCUCUUCGAGGGGAUUUGAAAGGCAUGUGAAGAAGAUUGAAAAAUCACCUUCAUUUCACUACAAUAUUGGUAUUUUGGUAGGUUUUAGCAGACAGAUCUUCUGAUAUGCAGGAGGUGCAUGUCUUCUUCACUGCUUUAACAGCAAUGAAAAGAUAAAAUAGCUGAUAUUGUUCAACCAGAUAAUUAAAUCACUUAAAAUAAAGAAGGAUGGAUAAAAACUAGGGUUUUUAAGUUAGAAGACUACGAUCUUAAAUUAUAGAGAAAUAAAAACUCUCUAAUUUAUUCUUAAUAGUUUUUUAAUUCAAUAAUUUGUUAAAAGAAUAAUAUACCAACUAUUUAUAUACAUAUAAAAACUGAUUUAAUAUAAAAAAAUCUAAAACUAUGAAGAAAAAAACAAUAAGAAUUUAAAAUUAACUUAGAAAAUAAUUUAAAAAAAAAACAGUAACUUCAAGGUUUAAUUUGAUAGUCUUCCAACCUUGACUAGUUAUAGCCAAUAAACCACUCAUUGAACUGAGCUUAACACCUCUACUUUUCCUUAAUUAGAUCAUCAAAGAAAACUAAGUUCAAUAUUAUGAAGAAAUUGGGAGAAGAUUGGAGCAGCCUAACUUUGAAAACAGAAAAUUAAUUGUAGCAUGAUUGCUCCCGUGUUUUAGGUCAAUGGAAGGUUCAACCACUUCGUUUAUUUCUAGAAACAGACUCCAUACAUACAUAUAGCUAUCGGCAUCACCAACACUUCACCUUCCAUGUCCUUUCCUCUUGAUGAGGCAUCACUGUUCAGCCAUCUCCAUCCUCCUCACAAAAGCUUUCCACCUGUAAAUCUAUUACAAAUCCUGCACAAACUGCA